GUUUGCCUGCCCCUGUCAUACAGUGGCCAGCCCUGAGCAGUGUUUGGCACAGGAGAGCAUCCAGAGAUUUAUGCAGCCAUUAUGUGCAAGGUAGAUUGAAACAGGAGACUCGAUGCGAUCCUGAUGAGACAGCCCCACUGUGAAUUUACAAGUAAGUAGAAUGGCAGCCAUAGAAGAUGAGAAGCCACACAAAGCCACUUUUUACAGAGUAAAAGGCCCAGCAGCUAAACAAAUGUAGGAGACAAAGAGUUAAAAGUGGAUCCCAGAUCUGAGCCUGGGCGGGAGAGAGAACAGCCACUUUAGGAUUUAAUUUUAGGCAGUACCUGCUGCUCUCUAACAGAUGUCGAUAAAGGUAUUCAUCAGGAAUUGCAAAACAAAUCAGAAAUUACUUCCAUGUUACAGCAAACGCAGAAACUCAUUCCUAGAUGCAAAUAUUACUUGCAGGUGGAGGGAAGGGGUUGGGGGGGUGGUGGGCAUGGGGAGAAGAGAGAGCUUCCAAAUAAGCUUUCUGCUAACUUGAAGGGAAAUGGAUACAUCUGGAAAAUUCAAAACUGUUUGCAUAAACAAGUGCGGCUGUUCAGGCGCUGUUUCCCAAACCCCAGGUGUUACAUAAGAUAAUGUUGCUAAAAUGUUUGGGACUUGGGGAGAGAGAUGGUAUAAACAUGUGGUUUUACUAUAGCUCAUAAAAGAUGAUUGUGUAGAAACCUUAGAAAAAUUGAAAGUCGGCACAGUAUAUAAAUGAAUGGCUUUCCUUCCUGUUUUACCGCAAUGCCUUGCUCAAGGCUUCAGGGUGAUUACAGGUGGGUGUCGAGGGGCCAGGCCAACCUACUAGCAUUUAACAAGUUGCCUCCAUCUUUCUAUUGGGGUCUGUGACUCUGUGGUUGGGGGGGAAAUAGAGAGGAAAAUGCAGUUCCAUGUACGUUUGUGUCCGUGGUACUCUGAGCCAGGAAUAGGAAGAAAAAUGACUGUCUAGUAAUCGGUAGAGGUGUAAGGAGUUGUUCUGUUCAGGUAGCUGAGACUGCAAAAUUCCAGAAAACUUGACCUGAACAUCUCUUCAGCAUUUUCCAUUUUUCUUGAGCAAAAUGAAAUGUGACUAGACCUGUUCUUAGCAGCUACGUCUUGUUUAUAUUUGCCCAAGAGGGGACAGAACAGUGUGGAGAGCUUGUGUGCUCUGGAAUAUCCUGGGAAAUCUGGCAAGAAGAAAAUAAAGAGAACGGGAGGGUAGGAAAGCCUUCGUUUCAUGGGAUUCUGCAGACUUCUUUCCUGGUAUUUCUCUGGUGCCGUUUUGUGGUUUCUUCUCCCAUAAGACCCAGCUCUGUGCAGUCUCUGGGUACAGGAGCGACAGGAUGGGAAAAUGAUCAAGGCAAUGCCUCUGAGGCCACUUGGAAAUCCUUCAAUGGAAGAAUCCUCUUCCCACCAGGGAGCCUGUGUUGCAUGGAAAAUGGGCUUGGGAAAUAGGAGGCCGGGGGUUCAAAUCCUGUGUCUGCCACUUGCGAGUAGCCUGAGACCUGACAUCUAGCCUUAACCUCUUGGAACCCCCAUUCUGCAUGGGUUAAGUGAGGAUGCAAAGAUCUCUUGGCUUUUAAACACUAAACUACGACACCCAGAUCGUGCCCACUCCGUACACAUUAACCAGUCAGAAGAUCAUUGCCGACAGGAGCCAGAGCUGACCACAGAGGCCAGGUUCCACCCAGGUUUCCACUUCAUGGUCUCAGAAUGGCUUUGAGGUGUUUGGAGCCAUGUAGUGGAAACCGUCUGUUUGUUUGCAUGUCCUAACAGACUCCACGUGGUGUCUGGGCAUGGUGGAGCACACAAAAGGACAUCAGUCACAUGGUGUGCACGCUGAGCACAAGCCUCUGUAUGGAGAGGUGCAGGGGAGGCAGAUGGGCAAGGCCCAACAGAGGGAACAUAAGCCAUUCUUUAGCUUUGAAGAUUCUGCCCCUUGCUGGCUGAGUACCCAUGAGCAAAUCACAUGACCUAUUGGAGUCUGUGUCCUUGUCAUUGGCAGGCUAACAUAAGUGAUAGUUUGGAGAUUGCUAGGAAGAAUAAAGGAAAUAACAUGAAAAAGCAUGUACCACUAAGUGCUGAUCUGGGUUUGAUGGUUAUGAUGAGCCAGGUGGAGCCCAGAAGUUCAUUUCCCUUCUAACCUUCAUUUGGCAAAUCCUGCAGCUGGAGCUCUAGGGUGGGAAGGCAACGGCUAAGUGUGCCAGGAGAGCGGGAUCUGUCUUUAGGCUCAGAGGUCUACCUCAAGCUUUGGCAGAUGUGAGUUACACUGCCAGUCAGUUCAGGGAAAAGAAUGUAAUUAACAGGUCAGAGAGAACACCAUUAUCAACAAGAAACCUACCUGGUCACUUCCUUUGUGCUCUCAGGCCCACUUUGACCCUCUGCACCCUCCUCUGCCUGCUGCUCUUUGCCCUCAGGCUUCAACUAGGUGGCAGUAGGUGGCAGCCACCAGCAGGAGGGCAGAGAAUAAGUACCCCCCUAUCCAAGUCUCUGUGGGUUGGAAAUUUAAGCCUCCCAAAGACCACAGCUGCCGUGACAGCCUUUUCCCUAGAGCUACGAUCUGCAGUUCUGCCCCUUUGCUCCGUUGGGCCCAGGGGAGGUGACAGCAUCCUGUCACUGCAGCAUACCUUACUCUACUGUACCAUUCUAAGUGGUUCCUCUGUGGAUAUCCCCACCUGGAUCUCCUUUCCGUUAUGAGCCAGGUAUCUUUUAAACUACAGAAGAGAAGUUAGGAAAUACAAGAAAGACCAUGUGACCAGAAAGGGAGGUUGUGGAGAGAAGACCUUGGAACAGCAGGAAAGUGGGACCUAGUAGAACUCAUUUAAGGUCCUUUCUGCAUGCAAGUAGGAAGCGAUCAUUCUGAGUGUCAGAAGUGAAGUCUGAUGGAAUGUGAGGACGGCAUGGAGAGAGUAGACUUCAUGAUGAAUUGGCUUUUUCAGGAGCCAGGUGAAGAGGAGGGAAAGCUCUGGUUUGGACAUAGAAGAAGGGCAGGAGCUAGGAGCUCAGACUCACUCCUCGAUUGAAUACAAAGAGUGAAGUCAGAUUCAAGCCCUGGCUCAUCUCCCGUAACUUCGUCUUAGCUACCUGGCACCCUGUGAGUCCCUCCUAGCUUAGGACACACUGCAUUCUGGAGGACAAAUGGCCCACUGUGCAGAGGUACACAGUAGGGAAGUAAAGAGCCCAAGGUUUUUUUGAAAACCCGAGUCCCAAGGCUGGGGUUGUGGCUCGGGGAUAGAGCACUUGCCUCGAAUAUGUGAGGCACUGGGUUUGAUCCUUCGCACAACAUAAAAAUAAACAAAAUAAAGAUUGUGCCCCUGCAUAGCUAAAAAGAAUUAAAAAAAAAAAAGAGAACCUGAUUCCAAACGAGAAACAGCAAGCCAACUGGGAAGGGACUUUAGACAUUUUUCCAGAGGGCAUGGGGUCCCCGGGACUUGGGUCUCUCACGUGGUUUGUGGCCAAUUUGUUUGAGCAGCAUGGCCUUAGGAAAGGGAUUGCCUGGGAUUCAGAGGAAGAGUGUGCAUGGGGUAGAGGGCUGAGGAAUAGCCCAGACCUGGAAUUUAAUGGUGCGUUUUCAGGCAAGCAAAACAGUGGCUGGAUUUCCAUGGAGAACCUUAGUCAUUUUACUGGAGACAGAUUAUCUACUAAACUAUUCCCACCUCCGCCAUGUCUUUGGGUCCCUUGUGCUGCACGACAAGGAGUCUACACUCCUCUCUCCUAAUAGUGAGCACACGUACUGGUAUGUAUAUGUGUGUGUCCAUCAUCUCGGCAAGAGUAGGUGCUCCACAGGGACCAGGUCUGCCUGGCCUCAUUGCAAGAUCUACUACAACUAGGGUCUUGCCCUGUCUUCAGGGAGCCCCAGCUGAGGGGCAAGAUAUGGCCUGGUCCUCAGGGAACCCCAAUCUGGUGUGGGAUGGGAUCCUGCACUGCAGAAAUGCUGAUUUUUUUGUUUUGUUGUUAUUGUUUUAUUUAUUUAUUUUUUUUUGUUAAGGUUGUAAACUGCAAAGGGUCAUUAUGGAGACCAGUCCCAGAAAUGUUGAGACAGGGAUCCAUCAAUGCCCCAAGUCCUCAUUAGUGCAUUGUGGAGUCAAAGUUUUCAGGGAGCCACAGAAGGCCCUCAGAGGGGCUUUCUCUGUGCUUGGAGAGCCCAUGCCAAGACAUGACGCCUGUCAGCCUAAGCUGCUCGCAGAUGUUCAGCUCACAGGCUGAUCAUUUUGCACGGUCAGUUUGCAAUAUGGGCUCUCCGCAGACCGCCAACCAUGUCUAAUUCUGUAAUCUAUGCAUCAUGCUCAAGUUGGAAAAAACAAGCCAAGGGCUAAAGGUCAGGUGGCCGGUGCCCAGCUAGCCAAGAAGUAAAGGAGGGGUGUGGGAGAGGGAUCAUGGUCCAUUAAUGUGACAGGGCAGGUAGAGGACGGCAUGACUGGGUGCAGGUCAUGGUCCUGGUGCCAAGAGCAGUGCAUUCCCAACUCUGCAGCUGCUAGAAAUGCCUGGCCUGGAGUGGUCUGGCAGGUGUGUGAAGGCCAUCCUACACAAGGGCACAGGGAAGGCAGAGGAGAGACCCACAGCUGAACAUUUGGACUCUCAUUGCCUUGGAGACCCACACCUCCAACCAGCGCGCACACACACUGACUCCAUCUCUCCCUCACACAGCAUGGCAACCUGCCUCUCCUGGCCUCCGGCUCCUUCCUCAUGGUAGAGGUAGGGUAGAGGAGGUCCCCAGGCUUGGACAAGCCGGGGCAGUAGAGGAUGGAACUACUCGGGUGUUGGGGUUACCCAGGUCUACUAAGCCAGGCUGGAGCCCACGAUAGGGCUACGGCCACUCCAGGGCACAUCUGCAAUUCCUGAUUCCCUGGUACAGAUGAGCAGCCUCCAUGAUUCGGUGGGAGCCUACUUUUCUACCUCCACAGAGGAUCCACCCACAGAGGAUGUGGCUAGGGUGUUUCCUUUAUCCUUGUAGCUCCCUAUUGUCACCAGAGCAGGGUGCUCAAUAAAUACUUGGAGAACUCUUGGGACAAGAGACCAGACUGUCCCUUAGAGAAAUCUGCUUUUGACUGAGGGAUGGAACUUUCUCUUUGCCUGGGAGGGGAAGGGGCUAGAGAGACAAAGGGUUGGCCUUUAUUUUUCUGAAGCAUCUUUUGGAACUGGAAGCUGUAAUUGAAGCCUCCUUUUCUUGCUUUGCCACUGGGUGCUGAUAUCCUCCCACCUUGUCACCAUGCUCCAGGGGUCUGUGAUCGGCAGGGGGCUGCUGGAAAAACCCUCUGGGCAUGUAAGAGGCCCAGCUAGAGGAAGUGGCUCCAAGAAUGAGGCUUCCCCCAAGCCAGGGGUGCUUUUGUGAGUGCAGAUGAGCACCAGGUGGGACAAACCUAGGGAUGGUCCCUGAGCUGCCUGCUCAGGACCAGGAGUGGUCUGUCAAGAAAUUCCAGGGACCAUGUGCUAAAGAGACCAGAAUUGCAUCCUCCUUCCCUACUACCAAGUCGGGGGUUAGAGGGAAGAUUCUGGAAGGUGCUGGAAAUAUGGGCUCAAAUUCCAGCUCUUGAUGUGAUUCCUUGAUUUUUGUGAGAUCAAACAACAGAAGUUGGGACUCCUGGAAUGUCCUCUGUUUUCUUGGAUGUCACAAGUGUGGACCUCAGCUUUCUUGGGGAGCAGAUUCUAAGAUGGAGCCUGGGGAAGGGACGGGGCAGAAGCAGGGCUGGGCAGAGGGAGGAGCUGGGCUGCGAUGUACUUCCAAUGGACAUCCUGGCCAAGCCCAUGGGGAGAUACGAAGAUGGGAAUGGUCUGGAAAAAUCUGUCCCCACAGGCCUCUGUCAUGGGAGGUGGGCUGCUCUGGGAGGGAGGCCACCUGGGGUAAGACGCUCUUUUGCUGAGGCAACCCUCAAGGGGCUCCUCACAGAGCCACCCCACUGGUAGAAAAGGAAGCUUGCAUAACUUAGGAGGGGCAUGUGAGGAUUGAAUCCAAUGUCACACAACAGUGUACACUGAAGUCUGAAGUAAUGCAGAAACAUCAGGCGGUCUUGGGCUCUGCGGCUGGUCUGCUCUGGGCAGCUCCUGUUUGAGUAUUUGGGAACAGGAACCAGGGAGAGGAGCUCCAUUUGUCUCUGGGGUUCCCUGGGGGACCUCAGAAGGGAGGUGUGUGGCAUGCAGACCUAUUUCGCCUGGCCCUGAUGGCAUGUCUCCUGGUGGGACAGCUCUCCCCCAGUCCAGCAGAGCUCGGCACCCUGCAAAAGAAAGAACAUUUCAUGAUGGGGCUCUGUGCCUGCUCAUGAGAGUACCACUCCCCUCCUCCUCCAGACCCUCGUGUUUGGCAUCGGGAAAGAUAGUCCCACAGCCUUUGGGGUGAGGUACUACAAUAUUUGCAUAAUAAGGCGCCACCCACUUGAUCAGUGAAGUGGUGUUAGCUUUGGACUUGGGCACACGGUUGUCUUUAAUCCUCUGCCAACACUGUGGCUCUGGGCAACUGCUCUCCACUUCAUUUUCUUCAUUGGAAAAAUGAGACUAAGAAUAGAAUGAAAUGACCUGGUGCAUAUAAAAUGCCUAUAUGCAGGGUAUUUGGAAAAUUCUAGAUCCCCUCCCACCUUCCCUCUUUCCUGUUGGAAGACAGCAGGGGCAACAGCCUGAAGAUCAGGAUUAGGGAGCCUUUCCUUCCAAGGCUACUUAAAGUGGCUGCCACCCCUCUGUCCUCUCAUCUCUCUGUUGUUCAUGUUACAGGGAUCAGCCUGUCUGUCUCUCAUGGCUCCUAGCCUAUUGCUGGGCCUGGGACAGGAGGAGGAAACUCAGAGUGUGGUAGUCCAGGAGGGGGCCAGGACAAGGGAGCUCUGUGAGGGAGACUUUCCCAUGGGUAUGGGGGCCAGCUCCAAGGCAGCAGCCAGGCUGUGUGGAAUGACUCACUCAAGAGGCAGCACAAGAGGAAACCUGGCUGCUCUGAGUCUAUAAAGCAGGUUGGGCUUUAUAGACUGGUUGGUUGACACCUGGAGAGAUUAAGUGGACAGGAGCUUCGAGAUUGAAUCUGUUUCCUUUCCCAUGGACCCCUGUGCAUUCCUGAAAUUCCCAGCCCCCACUUCCUGUCAAAGGCACAUUCUCCCCAGCCUGGGCCACUGGACUGGAGAUGGGCAGGUCAGGAGAUCACACUCAGUAGGGACAAUUGGGGAAGAAGUCAUUAAUAGAUUCCCAGCCUGCCACAGUGGACCCAGCACAGGCUUUCAGCAGGAUCUGACAUGUGGACCUUAUUAAGGACUGGUCAGGAUGGCAUGGGGCCAGACAGGAAGUUGAAACGAUGACAGGGGAAAACCUAUUUUGCUGUUCAGGGUGAGGCAGGGGGAGGCUUUGGGGAAGCAAUCCUUGAUUUCCCUCUCAACAAGAAAGGGACUCUUAGCUGAGUGACAACUAUGGCUAUGACAGGGAACCUCAUGUAUGAUGGCUAAGGAGCAUGUACAAUAGCAACCUCAGAAACGCACAGAUGAUAUCAAGCACCAAGAAAAAUACCCAAUAUUUUAAUGAUAAAAGAAAUAAUAAAACAGUACUACCCAACCCAAAUGCCUGAUUUUCAACAUUAGGAACAAGUGGGUGGUGUGCAAGGAAAGCUGGUGACAGAAAUACAGCAGCCUGACCCUCACAAGGAGUCAAAGGGAUAUUUUAGCAUCGGCCAAGUCUUCAAGGUGACAUUCAAGGUGAUGCCAGCUAAUAUGCUGUUUCCAUAUCAAGCCUCAAAGGCUUGUCAUUCCUGGGUGGAAAUCCCCUCUCCACCUCUUUUGAGCAAGCGUUCCCAGUGUUUGCUUUUACUUGUAUGCAUUGUGAAUUUCUGGUUCCCUUCCUACACUGGAACCUCCUGAGUGCAGGAAUUAAGCCCCAUCUAUCUCCUCCUCAUACACCACCUGGCAGAGUCCCCUGAAGUGAAUAUAAAAAGGACUAUAGGGUUUGGGGUGCGGGUCGCAGGGGGACCACAGGCCAAGUUUGUAAUACUGCAGGGGGCCUAUAGAGGGUGCUGCUAGUGCCCUACCACCUGCCAUCUGCAGGUGUAGCUGGUAGCAAUAAGCCCCAUCCCUCAAGACUGAUCUAGAAGUUGACCAGCAAAGAGGGCCUUGGCUGGAGGAGGCUGUUUUCUCUACCCACUCCAGACUUCUGCCAAUGACUGACACAGGGGACACAAAAGGGCUGGUCUCAAGCUGGGUCCAACACUGUGCAAUUUAUGCUCCAGAUCUCCCCAUGGAUCAGGCUGAAGUGAGGCUCCACCUCCACUGAACUCCAUCCUUCUUGGCCCCCUCAUUCCCUGCCCUAUGGCCUCCCCAUUCCUCUCCUGAGUGUGCACCAGUACAUCAUUUAGACAGCACCUUUCCCAGGCUCUGCUCCUUGGGUGCUGUUUUGAUCAGCUUUAUCACUGCCAUGACCAAAAGACCUGACGAGAAUAAUUUUAGAGGAGGAAAUUUGUUGGUUCAUGGUUCCAGAAAUGCCUAUAGACUGCCGGUUGCAUAGCUCUGGGCCGAACAUCACAGCAGAACAUCACGGCAGGAGAGUGUGGUGGAGAAAAAUGACUCGGACAUGGCAUCAGGAAACAAAGUUCCCCCCCCACGGACAAAACGUAAAACCCAAGAGCAUGUCCCCAUGGAUCCACCUCCUCCAGCCACACCCUACCUGCCUGCAGUCACCACCCUGUGGAUUAACACACUGAUUAGGUUAAGGCUCUCAUAACCCAAACACUUCACCUCUAAACUUUCUUGCAUUUUCUCACACAUGAGGUUUUGGGGACACUCACAUCUAAACCACAACAGGCGCCCAUGUGAGGUGAUCACAAGUGCACGGGCACUGUGAAAACUGCCCAGAUGUGGCAACUCUGCAGACAAGGAGGUGUGUAAAGUGGGUUAUUGGAAAACAAGGGCAGACGGCUCAGAAGGGAGUAGGGAGGUGGGGAUGUGGGGGAGGGCAGGGAGCCCGUAGGAAGGAGCACUUACGAGUAGGUCAGCCCUGUGGACCACCGGCAUCAAUCCUGCUGGGAACUGAAUUGCUGUAGGAAUAGACCUUUAAAUUGUCCACCUGGAGGGGCAAGAAGCUGUGGCAUGUACCCACCUACUCCAGCCCCUGUAAGGCAGAGAGGCAAGAAACCUUGAGUGGCCAGCAAAACUCUUCACAAGUGACCUCCUGGGGAGGCCAGAGGAUAUGGUUGGGGACACCAAGAGCCCAUUAAAACCAAAGCUAUAGCUCAAAACCCUGCUAACCUGACCACCUGGAUAUCUUCAGGAACAUGGCCCCAGUGUGAACUCAUGGCUUGACUUAUCACCCAAUCCCAAACUACUACUACUUCCACUUCAUUUUCUGUUCUGGUCUUUUUUGUUUCUAGGGCUCUAACCUGUGGACUUCUCAUUCAUGCCAGGCAAGUGCUUGGCCACUAUGCUACAUCCCCAUGCUCCUGUUCUAGGCUUUUGAAUAACCAUGCAACCUGUCCCCACCCUCCCCCUGAAUCACGAGGCACGCUGUCCUCUUCCUGUCCUCUGUCCCCAGUCAUCUUUGAGCAUGCCUAGGAGGCUUUCCGCCUUCCUUGCCUGGUGGCUAUGGCUUGUCACCCAGAGUCUCUCUGCUAUUUAUUGUCGUCAUUUCGCUUCUAGGUACAUAUCUCCUCCUUCCUUGACAAGAUAGAUUUUUGCCUAUAAAACGGCCUGGCCUGGUAACUGGGGAAAAGACAGUGCCAAACCCCAGCUUCUGCCUUCCUGAGCCUCUACCCAGAGGAACCAUUUCUCGGAGAAACAAGAUGCCCUUACCCUGAGAGGCUGAGGUUUUUGUUGGGUCCUCAACCCUUCUCUUUCUGAAGCUCCCCAGGAGAAAUUUCUCUAUUUCUGGAGCCAAUACUUGCCGUGUUCCUCUCAAGCAGCUGGGGUCCUUUCAUCUUACAGAUUCUGGAAAUCAAGUGAUGAAUCUAAUACUGAGUAUUAGAAAGUCAAAUUCCUGGCCUAUCUUGGGCACAUGUAAAAGACCUUCCUGUCCCAAGGUGAACUUCUUUCAUGACCUCAUAAUUGUUCCUAUGUUGCUUUUCUACUUAUCCUGCUUCCUUCUAUAUUUACGAUUUUAAAAGUUGUAUGCAUUCAUCCAACCUGCCUUCAAUCCCUUUGAAACAAAACAUACAGACCCACAUAUCAGAAUGCAGAUGUGCAUACAUAUCAUCUUCUCCCACUGCCAUCUCACUGCCCCUCUCUGGUCCUUAUGUGUUGCUAUUCUUUGCUAUUAAAUAGCCACCCCAAUCAUGGGGAGAUUCCUGCUUCUGGUCACAAUGAGUCCUGAUCCACGCUCUACAGAACUUCUUAGAGGAUCUUCCUCUUGGCACAUCCCACAGGGUCUCCCUUCUCAAAGUCGCCAACAGUUCCCUCAAUGUCUGGAGAUAAAUUGAAUUCUUUCGUGUGACAGAAGAGGCUCUCCCUCCACAACACGGGGACCCUGCCUGCCUCUUUGUUCUGCCUCAUUUCUCCCUUUCCUCUCCCCCAAUACACCCCAUUUGACAUCCCAGAAAUCAUGAAACCUCCAGAUCCUCUUCCCCCUGCUCUGCUUCCUGGUGCCCUGUCCUCCUGUUCGUCCUCUGAGGCUAGGCUCAAAACACCUCCUCUGUGAAGCCUUCCCAGGUGCCCCAGGUAGGCUGUGGUGCUCUAGCUGACAACCAGGACACAAUAUAUCGCCAGGCAAAGUGUGAGGACGCUCGGGUCCCAAGGCUUGCAUUGAGAACUGAAGAUGGAAACACUUGGCAGGCAGAGUAGGAGGUGGGCUCAGUACAGGGAGACGGCCACGCUUUCCCCCUGUGGCUCUCUGCAGAAAGGGUUGGUUAAGGAUGUGAUUUGAAUGCAGGGGACAUGAAUUGCAAAAACCCACUGUAAAGGGGAAUCUCCAUGCCAUUUUAACAGCACCCAUGAGGAGGAACAAGGGUGUCUGUGCACUCGUUCCCAUGAACUGCCACAGCCUCUCGGUCCAGCUAGGAGACAGGACAUUAAACAACUUCAUCCUCCAUCAGAUAGUUUCUGUGUUGGUUAUUUGUCACCGAGAUAAAAAAGCUGAGAAAACCACUCUAAGGAGGGAAGAUUUAUUUUGGCUCAGUUUCAGAGGUUUUAGUCCAUGAUCAGCUGCUUUGGGCCUGAAAUGAAAUGAGGCAGAACAUCAUGACAGAAGAGGGUGUUGGAGGAAAGUCGUUCAGUUCUGGCAGCCAGGAGGGAGAGGGAGGGAGGGAAGGGGAGGGGGAGAGGAAGGGACCAGGAACGACAUUAGGGCUUCCAGAGCCCACUGAGUAACACAGGUGCUCGGCCUUGGCUGUACCUUAGAAUCACCAGGGGAGCCUCAGAACAGGACACAAUCCCAGGGCUGAGGCCCACUGCUUUGGGGGUGUGUUUUCAACCCUGAAGGUUUGUAGAAGAGGAAGUGAAACAAAUCGGGGACCUACCUCCUCAAACUAGGUCCCAUCUCCUGGGGUUUCCACCACCCCUCAAUAGUUCCUUCAAGUUACUAAUCCAUCAAAUGGAUUAAUCCACUGAUGAGGUUAGAGCCCUAAUGAUCCAAUUAUUACCUCUCAACUUUGCUGCAUUGGGAACCAAGCCUUCAACACUUCAACACAGGAGUCUUUGGGGACACUCCAACAUCAAACCAUGACAGCUUCAGUGUGAUGGACCUGAAUUAUUGACUUGGUAACACUGAUGCUCUUGAGGUAGUAAAUAUCCACUUGCCUUACAACACUUAUUCUCAAAGUGUGGUCCUUGAACCAGCCACAGCAGCAUCACCUGGAACUUGUGGUAAGUGCCAAUUCUUCUUCCUCGUCACAAACAUAGGAGGCAGGACCUCUAGGGAUGAGACUCGGCAUGCUGUACCCAGACCUCGGGUGACUCUCAUACACUGAGUAACACACAAGUGCUCGGCCUUGGUUGCACCUUAGAAUUGCCAGGGGAGCCUCAGAACAGGGCACAUUCCCAGGGCUGAGGCCCACUGCUUUGGAAGGGGCAGUGUCUUGUCAACCCUGAAGGUUUUUAGAAGAGGUAGUGAAAUAAAUCUACGGCAUGAGUGCUUUUUGGACUAAUUAAGAAAUACAUCUUGCAAAAAACAGGGAAUGGGUUCUUGAAAAUAAGAUACCUUAAGGAAUCUCACAAAUCUCUUAAAUUCCCAUUUGAUGUUUUAGAAUUUUUCUAUUAAGCAGAAUUGCAGUUAUGGUAUCGUCUAAUGAGCAUUCAUGAACCCACUGCCUCCCUUCAUCAACGGCCUGCUCAUGGAUGAUCCUUCCUCAUCCUCAUCUUCUCUCCUCCCAUUUAAUCUAUAAGAAAAUUGUACAUUAUAGUGAGAGAAUCAUAGCAUGUCAUAUGAUAAUUUCCUUAGCAUUCAUGAGAUGAGAAAUUUGAACACUGACCAAACCCUUGAUUUUUGCUAUGAUAUUGUUGUAAGUUUUGUUUCUUGAAUCAAGUAAAUAAGGUCAAUGGGUUAAGAUUAGUUGUUUCUUCAGAUAUUUAAUACCUGGAUCAUAGGUUCAUAUUUUUUAAACUUCCUUGUAAUCUAUUUAUUAAAGAAACCAAUUGAAAAUUCGUGAGAUUUUUUAAAGUUGAAAGUGGCAAAAUCAUUUUACUACUUUUGUGAAGAUGCUAGUGUUUGCCUGAUUUAUAAAUCAAUCAAUUCACUAGAGUUGUUUAAAUACUUAAAGGAUUUCUUAGUGUUAAGACCUUCAAAUACAUAAGAGAAACUCAAUUGAUUGCUACUAUUGCAGAGAGACAUGGCCAAGUUCGUCCCCCUUCCCAGAGCAGUCCAUGCUCCAGUGCCCUACUAUGGAGUCCGGGGAACUCCUCUGAAGUGCCAGCACUCCCCACAGCUUCCUUGGCCGGUAUCAUAGCUAAGCCUCUCCCUUUGCCUUCUCCGGCCUCCUCCCCUCCCUGCAGUGCAUGUCCAACUACCAGGGUUCCCCUAUAUAAACAUCCUACCUGCUAAAUUCUAUCUCAAACCCACUUUCUGGGACACCAAAUUGCCACAGCACCUGACCCUAGAUAGAGUAUGAGAAUUAUUUCCAGAUUAAAAAGGAAAAUCUGAUCAAGUAUGCUAGUCGGCCUUCUGUUACUGUAACAAAUAACUGAAGGUAAUCGAAUUAAGAAGAGGAAAGGUUUACUUUGACUUUCAGAAAUGGCAGGUCAUUGAUUGAAUGACUCAUUGCUUUGCGGCCUGUGGCAAGGCAAAACAUCAUGGCAGGGCACAUGCAGUGAAGCCCAAGAAGCUAUUCAGCUUAUGACCAGUGAGAAAGAGAGUAGGUCCCACAGUUACCUUCCAGGGCAUACCCCUAAUGAUCAGAAGACCUGGGCCCCAGCUCUUCAUGUUUCCAUAGCCUAUGUGGUGAAUAAACAUUUAACACGUGGGUCCUUGGGGGACAUUCCAGAUGCAAACUGUUCCAAAGUAUAAGGUUUAUGGGUCCAACAUGCACCCUAAAAUUGCCUCCAGCAAUCUCUGGCCAGGUCUUAGUCACUCGGGGGUGCUGUCACACAUACUUAUUUGGGCACAGGGGCUGGUACAACCGGAGGAUGGGAAGGCAGCCUUUGUGGCUUGCAGCACUAUGGGUUUGCAUUGACUCCCCCUGUUCCUUUCUGGCCUGUUUCUGAUCUGACUACUUUAACAAGUAUACCACAGACUGUGGCUUAAGCAAAAACAUUUAUUUCUCACGGUUCUGGAAGCCAGGAAGUCCAAAAUCAAAGUGCCAGGACAUAUGUCUGGGGAGGGCCCACUUCCUGGUUUGCAGAUGACCCUCUCCUGUGUCCUGGCUUGGUAGAGAGCAGAGAGUGCCUGUGGAGGGCGCUGAUCCCACUGAGGAGGGCUCCGCUCUCAGGACCAAUUGCCUCCCAAGGGCCCCACCUCCUACUACGUCACAGGGGGGUUAGGUUUCAACAUGUAUAUUUGGUGAACACAGUUGAUCACACAGCACCUCCCAACCCCCUGGCCUCUUAUCUGGUGUCAUCAUGAGAUAUGCACGCCUUUAAACUCAGAUUAACUCUAAACCUGUGGAUUUCAGUAACUCCCCUCUCUGACUCUGGGCCUGUUUAUUCUCCAGGCUCUAUCUGAAACCAGUUUGAGUCCUGAGCAUUAAGUCCAAGAUGAUGGUCCUGGCAGAUGCAGGGUAUUGAAGACCCACUUUCUGAUUCAUACAUGGUGACCUCUUGCUGGUGCAAGAGGUGAGACUGCUCUCUGGGGCCCCUUUUAUCAGGGCACUAAUCCCACAGGUGAUGCUCUGCCCACACAAUCUAACCACUUCCUGUCCACCUCCCAUUAUCACAUUGGUGAAAAGGCUCAAUGCAAGAAUUCUGGAGGGUUACAAACCUUCAGAUUCACCAUGAGAAACCUGUACUAUAGCAGGCAAACAUAUUUUUGUUAAAUGGAUAGAGAAAUUUAUGAAACUCAAGCAAACCAAAAAAAACUUCUGAAAGUGUAUGAGAAGCCACAAGAAGCACAGAAAAGUGCUUCUUAAGACUCUUAAAAAUCAUUAAGCAAAAGAAUCAUGAAAGGGGAAAAAAGUAAGGACAUUGCUCAAGAGAGCUCCUCCCACUCCCCAGAAACCAACUGACUAAUCUUUUUUACACUUUAAAGUCAAAGAAUUUGUAAAGUGGCCAAGAAGGAAAGAAAAAAGCAUUUUAAAAAGCUGGCAGCAUUGCAACAAAUUUGGGCCUCUUAUACUGCAAGACUGAAGCUUUGCUUAGGAAUAAAUCUCUAGGCAUACAGCCAACUGGAACUUUGGCCCCUACACAGCCCGACACGGGCAGGAGAUCAUUUCCAGGUGGGAAGACCUUCAUAGUAAGGUGGAAAAACUAAGCAAAGGGAAGAAAGAAUAGACUUGAGAGGAGUAGCUCUGCACCUUGAUAAUAUCGAUACCUAAUCACACAAAAUAAACAUCAGGAAACUAAAUGCACAGUAGGAGAGACUGCAAGAUGUAAAGACUAAUUUUUACCACUUUAUUACAAAUAUCUAAGCCACAUCGACACUUAAAUAUUUUUCCACACUUUUUAUUAUCAGCAAUAUUUUUAUAUUCUUUCCUAUCUUAAUCUUUUUGAGUGGGCAAGAUAGGAAUCAUUAAAAUAUUAUUUCAUAAAAGGCAUUCAGUCUCCCAAGAUAAAGAUGGGUCUGAAUGGGAAUAAAAGAGGGACAACUUUGCAGACUCAAUUUAUAUUGCACACAGAAGGGGAAUGGGCCUGUAUUUCACUCAUUCUGUACACAUUUGCUUAGUGCCUACAAUAAGCCUGAUAUUUGCUUUGGUUUGGUUAUGAUUUAAAGGUAUCUCCCAAGAGUUUGUGUGUUGCUGCUUAAUCCCAUUGUAAAGCAUUAAGGGUGAAAACUGAAUGCAUCUCUGGAGUGUGGAAGUGGAGCCUUCAGGAAGUCAUUAGAAUUAGAUAAGGUUAUUAGGGUAGAGUCCCUGAGUCCCGGUGGGUUUUUACAUGAAGGGGAGAGACUAAAUGCUCUCUCACACACACGCUCCCUGUCUCUCUCUAUAUGGUACCUUGUGCCAUCCCAGGACUCUGCCACCAAGAAGGCCACCACCCAUAGUUUUCUUUAUAAAGAAAGUUGUACUGGUUUCAGUUGUAUUGGUCUAUUUGUUGCUAUUAUAACAAUAUAACUUUAAAUUUUGCAGAAAAAUUUGAAGAAAUGCCCCUACCUCAAUAGUGAGCAAAUGAGAAAGGAGAUAUUUUUGUGUUUAUUGUAUUUUAGUUGUAGAAUUAUUCUCAGUUACAUGGUAAUAAGGGUGAUAGCUAACCAAAGUAUACAAUCCCUUAUAUAUUUUUCAAUUCCUAGAACUAAUGUGAAAAGAAAGAACAAAACUAGUCUGAUUGCAUAAUACUAAAUUCUGUUGUUAGUUCCUUGUGAAGGAUAAGGAUUUAUCUCUGGAUGGAUCCUAUAGGUGGUUUAUUUAAAACUCAAAUAUCCUUGAUUUUUUUUUUUGAAAGUUAUGUGGUCUUUAAGAAUAUUUUUAAAAAGAUGGAAUGUUAGCCUAUUUUGUUUAAAAGGUAUUUGCUAAUUCUCAAGUCUAACAAAUACCAAUCAUGAAGGCACAUGAGAACAAUUCACUUUGAAAACCCAGAUGCAAGUGGGCACGGUAGCACACACCUGUAAUCCCAGUGGCUUGGGAGGCUGAGGCAGGAGGAUGGCGAGUUCAAAGCCAGCUUCAGCAAAAGCCAGAUGUUAAGCAAUUCAGUGAGACCCUGUCUCUAAAUAAAAUACAAAAUAGGGCUGCGGAUGUGGCUCAGUGGUUGAGUGUCCUUGAGUUCAAUCCCCAGUCCAAAAAAAGAAGCAAAAAUUCCAAAUAAAACUUAGGCGAUAAAAUUAGCACCUUCUGAAUAGAAUUAUUCACUAAACCCAAACCAAGUUUAAUUGCAGAGUUCUAGGCUGUCCUAUAGAAAUUAAAAGCCUCAACAUAGUUUUUUCUCCUAAUAUGGUCAAUUAUCAAGUAUCAUCAGGUUAAUGUGUGUCCCAAAUACCUUCGACAUGUUUAAAAAUUCAUUGUGUAUAUGAUUCUUUAGGAUAGAUUCUUUAAAUUAGUUAUUUACAACUGAUUAUUCACCUUGUUUCAACCUACAUUUAUACUGAGUUUCAGAUUUAAGGCACAUUAUGCAUGCUGGAGAAACAUUUAGAGUCAUUGCCUCUAAAGAAAAAGAAGAAAAACAAGAUCAAAACAGAUGCCCUUUUCAUGGUGUCUGGUAUCUAUUUAAUAUAGUACCAGAAGAGCUCCCACCAGCUGCAGGAGAGGGAAGACAAUAAACAAUAUAAAUGCAUAAAGGAAAACAAUACAAAUAUUCCUUUGUAUCGGUGACCUAGAAAAUCAAAAGAAAUCAACCAAAAAAUUAUUAGAGGUAGUAAAUGAAUCCUCUGGAGUUAUGGGGGUAUGAGAUGCAGAAUCAAUUGUGUUAUAUACCAGCAGCACACUGGAAAUUAAGUGAAAACAAAGCGCCGUUUAUGGUAAUAAAAAAAAUUUUGAAUAUCAACAUGUACCAUAAGAGACUUAUUCAAAUAACAUAAAUAUGUAAUGGCAAAAAGACAUUAAUGACUGAGGGGGGAGAGCUACCUCAUACCUAGGAAUACCAAAUGCACAAAGGUAAGCAUUCCCUGUUCCUCAGCCUCCUGCAGCCCUGAAGCACUCACCCUUUGCUUACAGACGUUGCCAAGGUCAUUGUAAGAGGAGCCCCUCUUUGGUGCCUGGAAUUGUAGACACUGUCAUCAAUUUUGUCAGCUUUCCACUGCAUUUAUUUAUUUAAGUUAUUUAUUUAUCUACUUAUUUUUUGUUAAUAACCACUGACUAACUGGAAAGGUCCAGUUAUGAUUCCCGUUCAUUGAGUUUUGGGCUCAUUUUUUUUCUGCUUAUUCAUGUUGAGCCUCCCACCAUGAGCUAUUCUGAUGGUCAGAUCAUCAUUGGAGGCUGAUCUCACUGGUCAGCCUCCAAACACCCUCACUUCUUGGGUCUUACUUGACCCAGCAGUGCCCUAGUGCACUUGGACAAUAUAAAUGUGAGAUUCAAUGCCAUUCAAGUUAAAAUUCCACAGAAGGGUGUAGAGUGGAAUCCGAUUGGAAGAAUGAAUGCUGAUGAGGAGAUUAUUUGGAAAAGUUAGAGUGUGCAUUUGUUCUACAUACUUGUUGUAUGUUAUAUUUCAUUAAAAUAUUUAAGAAAAUAUGGCAUAUGAGCUAAUGGAGAAAAUGGUUUCAUAGAUAAAAAAUGAUUUAUUUCUAAGGUCAGGAGAAAAAAUAGAAUUUGAACUCAUCUUUUUGACACUAGAGUCCAGAUGCUUGAAUACUGCUUUCUAUAGACUCCAGUGGAUCGAAGAUAUACAUAAAAAUCCAAUUAAUAAAAAAUUAUCUAGAAGGAAAAUAGAACAGAAUAUUUACUUUGGUUCUGGGAAGAAACAAAUUUAUGAAUAUUAAAAAUGGAGGCUAUGAUCAUGAACAAGAUGGAUGUGUUGAAAUCCAUAAAACCAAGGACUUUUGUACAAUAAAAAGCAAUAAAAUAAACAUCAGAAGGAAGACAACAGAAAAGGGGAAAUAUUUUUUAGAUAACUAUAAUCAGAAAUAUUUACUGUCAAAUACAUUAAGACUUGAUAAAUAUAUAAGGUUGAUAGCCAGAUUCCAGAAAAUAAGAGAUCAAACAAGAUGGGAAGAAAGUGCUAACUCAAGGAAAUGUAGUUCGUAAAUCAUCUCAGUGUGAAUGCCCUUUUUUUUCCUAUCGAUUAAAGAAAUGCAAAUGAAAACAAGCUUAAGCUCAAGGUGUAAUUAUACACAUUUAAUGAGUAGAACCAAACAAACCCUUGGGGGAGGUGAGGGGAGGUUAUUUUCAUUGAUUCUCCAACUGUUACAGGAUUUUCUUACCCAUAAUUUACAUAGGGGUCUCUUACAGGACACCCAAGCUGCUUAGAAGCAGCUCAUUUUUUUUCUAACUGAUCCAAACUUAGCACAGAUCGAAAUUUGAAAGUCAUAAGAUGCCAGAUGACUUACCAAGAAGUAUACUCAUUACCAUUAUCACCCACUUAUACGACUCAUGUACCUUCUGAUCAACCCCCUCCAGGCUAAAGGGGUGAACAACAGACCUUGGGUGGAGCCCUAGGUGCCGUAAAAACUGGGCAUCUUCUGGGUCCUGCAGGGAAGCCAGAGGGAGAAGAUGGGAAUUCCCUUCGACGUGUGCUCUUGGUGAAAGCCACAAGGGAAACGUGCAGGAGCUUGGAAGGUAGGAAGCGUGACUCCUGCUUCACUUCUCCCUGAAGGAUAAAGUUCAGGCUGGGUUGCAGGGUGACGUUUUCUGUUUUUGCAAAUCCGCUGACUUCCUUCACUGCCACAGGCAGCAGCAGAAGCACCAUCUCCUCCAGCUCCUGUGAAAUCUCUACCUCUGGCUCCCCCAGAUCCUGAGCCAGGCGUGAGUGCCAACCUUCAGUGAAAAGACCGGGUUCUCCUGCACGUCCUCAACAGAGGGAGGUGGAGGCUGGGAGAUGGGACUGAUGGUCACAGGUUGCACAUUUUUCUAUUUGCUUCUCCUGCUUUACACUUUAUCCUUCUCAACACUUGCUCUGCUACUUUGAGCUCAGCAGCAGGCAGGCAGAUACACACACACACACACACACACUUAAAUUUAGACUUCUAUCAUCUACCACAUGAUGUUAAAUCCCUCAGAUAAACCCAUGGUCUCAGCCUGUUUGCUGCUGCUGUAACAGAAUACCACAGACUGGGAAGUGUAUUUGGAUCAUACUUCUCGAGACUGGGAAGCCCAGAUUGAGGGGCCACUUCUGACAAAAGGUUUUUUUGCUGUAUCUUCCCAUGGCAGAAGGCAUCUCGGGGAUAGAGAGAGAUUGGGUGGGAUAGGAAAGGGAGACCACCACAUCCUUUUUAUCACUCAUUCAUUCCCUCAAUUAACCCACCCAGUGAUAAUGGUAUGAAUGCCCGCCCUUUUUUUGUAACAGGGAUUGAACCCAGAGUGCUUAACCAUGGAGCCACUUCCCCAGCCCAUUCGUUUUAUUUAUACAUAUAAUUAUGUUUUAUUUAAUUUUUUAUCUCUUUAAAUACAUGACAGCGGAAUGCAUUACAACUCUUUCUUAUUUAUAUUUAUUUUUUAGUCAUAGUUGGACACAAUAUCUUUAUUUUUAUGUUGUGACGAGAAUCGAACCCAGGCCCUCAUACGUGCUAGGCAAGCAUUCUACCACUGAGCCACAAUCCCAGCCCAUAUAGAGCACAAUUUUUCAUAUCUUUGUAUAUAAAGUGUGUUCAUGCCAAUUCAUGUCUCUAUACAUGUUUAUACAUUACUAUUUUUUAUUUAGAGACAGGGUCUGAGUUGCUUAGGGCCUUGCUAAGUUCCCACAGCUGCCUUUGAACUCCCGAUUUUUUUCUGCCUCAGCUUUCCAAGUGGAGACUCCAUGACCUAAACAGCUCCUUAAGGUCUCACCUCCCCCAAAUCAUCAGUUGCAAUUAAGUCCCAAAGAGGGUGCUUUUAAACCAGAGCACCCAUAUUCUGUGACUGGCUUAUUGGGUCUCUGACCCACACAGAACUGGAUAUCAGAAGUGAUUCCAGAAAACCAAAUCAUAUUGAUGGGUUCUCUGAUGCAAAGAUGUUAAUGACUGUUUCCAGUGGUCCAGGGGACACCAUCUAUAGUGUGGAUAUGUGGAGAGGUAGGGAAGUGAUCAGGCUUUUCAAGGAUUGGACACUGACUCUGGGGUCUCCAGAAACUGGUUUCACUUCAAACACCACUCUGGGUCACAACUAAGACCAGGGGCUCGUGGAGGUGAGGUGAUAUUUUAAGACAUGGUAAGUGUGCUGCUCCAUUUAUGGUCGGUAAAAGAGAAAGAUGUCUGUGGACGUCAGGUCUUAAGGGGCGCACUGUGGUGACUUUGUAAUGUGUCAACUUAGCUGUGUUGGAACUGCAUUCUCUAGGAUGUAUGGUUUCCGGCUAGAGUUGACUACAAGAGAAAUUUGAGUCAAGUCUGGAAGGCAGAAGUGAAAUUGUAAUGCUUCCUCUCUGAAAGUCACCAUAGGUAAAUCCAUUUCUUUCACUGAAUCCUAAUACAGUUCCUCCUUUCUGCAUCUAGCAUAUUGCACACCAUGGACAGGCAGUGAGUCAGUUUUCCUUCCUGAUCCAUGAAGGGGACUUUCAUUAUGUUCUCCAGGAUGGCUGAGUUUUGGAAUGACUGCUACUGGUCUUCUGAUGGAUGUGAGUGCCAACAUCUUUCCAUCUCGGCUCCACUAGGAGGUGGGGCCAUUGCUCAUGUGGGACUGAGAAUACCCUCCUCUGCUUUCUGUUCCCAUUUUCUUUCAGUUACUUAAAGAGAGCUUCCAGGUGUCAUUUCAUGAUGAAUAGUAACAGAUUCUGCCACCUUCUCCAAUAUAACUGUGUGCACACACAUGUGUAUGUGUGAAUGGACACUAGUUCGGCCAUUAAUAAAUAUAGCUGAUAAUGUUUAAUAUUAUUCAUUAUGUUUAGGUUGAAAAACAUGCAGAAAUCAGUUUUUCUUUCAAUCAUCUCUUCUGCAGCAGCAAGAUAACAGUGAAGCUGUUCAUCUUAACAUUUGGGAUUUUCACUGAGCAUUUUUUAAUAUGGAGAAUAAUGCACCUUCAGAAGUAUAGCAAGCAUUGUGGCUGGUUUAUUUAUAUCCAAUGAUACUUUUCUUAAUCUUAGAAGUAUGUAUCAUAUAUCCAGAAGAGCAUAAAAUAGAGUUACAGUUGAAAGAAGCAUUAUAAGCUUAUUUAAUGUCAAAUACCAGUAGAGUUGGACCUCCUUAUCUGUGGAUUUUUGCCUCUGUGGAUUCAACCAAUGGCAGAUCAAAAAGCUUACAUCUGUACUCACAUGCACAGAUGGUUUUUCAUCAUUUUUUAAGCAAUAUAGUAUAACAUGCAUUUUCAUGGCAUUGAUAUUUUAUUACAAGUAAUCUAGGGAUGAUUUAAAGCAAUGUGAGGAUGUGUGCAGGUUAUAUGCUAAUACUACCCCAUUUCAUUUAACAGACUUGAGCAUCUAUGGGUUGGGGAUCCUAGAACCAAUACCCUGCAGAUACUGAGGGGUAGCUGUAACUGAGAAUCCCCUAUAUAUCCUAACUAUUUAUCCCUCACCAUCAGAGGUGAGCAUUUGGGUCUCAUCAUUGUUUUUACUUGUUACCACCUGUGCAUGUAUCCCUAAACGAGUAGGUGUGAAACCUACUGUGAGGAGAGGGCAACACGGCCCUGUUGGAUGAAGAUUUCUAAGGGCAACAGCUGAACAGUCUCAUCAUAGUCUGAAACCAGGGAACUCGGCUAACACAAACUUACAGCAGAUAAAAACACAGGUUAGGCACAUCAUAAAUUUUCAUCUGUAGAUUAAAAAACAGCUCUCCCAUGUUCUCAUUUAUGUGUCCUCAACAUAUUAUGAGUCACACACAUCUGGACAAAUAGUCCUCCAUGACUGCUGUACAGCUGUAUCCUGAAUGCUUCCUUUAUUUUUUUUCGCCUCUCUCCGAAAUAAUAUGUUCCAUUUUCCUCUUUCUGGUCUAUUCUCUUCUUUGGGUAGAGUAUAUCACUGAAGAAUAUUACUGAGAAACAAUGCAAAAAUACAUUCUUUGACAUUCUGUAUAUUUGAAAACAUCUUAUCCUGCCCUUAUAGUGAUAGUUAGGCUGGGCAUAGAAUUUUAUGUUGAAGAUAAUUUUCCUUCAGAAUCUUUGACUUCAUUCAUUGCUUUCUAGCUUCCAGUUGCUACUAAGUCAGUAGACAUCCUGAUCCCUAAUACUUUAUAAGUAAGGUUUAUUCUCCUUGGAAACCUUGAGGAUUUUUUUUCCUUGUCGAUAGCCUUCCAAAAGUUCACAAUAAUAUAUCUCACCUCAGAUCUACUUGGAUCUCCGAUGCUAGCUAGACCUCUAGUUGGUCUUCUCAUCUGGGAACACAACUCUUUUAACUGAUCACUUCAAACCAGCAACAAAGAAUAAAAUUGGAACCUCUACAUCUGAAAAAGAUAGGUUUUAAACUGGCCUAUAAAAAAAAGUCUGAUCAAUGGGUGACAACUUGCCUCAGUGUAAUCCAGCCAUGAAAACUUGCUUCAUUGAACACACUUUAAAAAACCAACCCAGCAAUGAUAACCUUUGAGGGUGAGUCAGUCAGCAGCCGAUUUACUUACACUAGUGAAGUCUUGAGUAAGGAAAUGCACUUCUGAGGUUAAUGUCAGCCUACUCCCAUCUCUAAAACCAACAAAAUCCCAAAACAAUCCCUGACUCCAGAACCUUGCAUAAAUCAGCAGACGGCAAUGCCUGGAGAGAUUUUCCCUAACCGGCAUUUCUCUUCAUUCUCAAGUAAAUAAUGAAGCAAACUCCUAUGUGAUUCUCCCAAUUGUGUGCUCUUACACCUACAUGUAACCAUUAUACUUUAAAAAUUUUAUUCCCUUAUUAUUUGGUGCCAAGUGUUGAACUCGGGGGCACUCGACCAUUGAGCCACACCCCCAGCCAUAUUUUGGAUUUUAUUUAGAGACAGGGUCUCACGGAGUUGCUUAGUGCCUCGCUGUUGCUGAGGCUGGCUUUGAACUGGCAAUCCUCCUGCCUCAGCCUCCUGAGCUGCUGAGAUUACAGGUGUGUGCCACUGCACCCAGCUCAUUUAUUUUUUUUUACUUUUUAUACCUAUGUUUGUGUAAACUAGGGAUCAGGCAUGCACCUGGCCACAGAAGGACAAGAUUACAUGACCUCAGUUACUGAGGCUCUGGGGAAGCUGAGUGGAGUGGGGCCUCUUGGUCAUGGGUUUGUUUCAAAUAUUGACUGACAACCUUUUUCUUAACAUGACUUUAUGUUUAAAGCACAAUAACCAAGAGCUCACUCAGUUACCAUACCAGACACACCAGAGACUGACAUGGUUGUGAUGUAAUGUAGUUUACAAGGGGUCUUGUGGGGAAGGUCUCACUGUGACUCUUCUUGCAGAGUUCUUUCAGUUCAAGGGAUUGCUUGCCCUGGUCUUGCCCUCAGCUGAAGAGCCUCUUCUUGGCUCCACGCCAAAUCCAGUAACUUCUUCCUAAAGCUUUCCAACUCUUUAUGGAAGAACAACAAUCAACUACGCAGGGAGAAGAGGACUGAAUGGAUAACAGGAACACUGGGGUUCAAAUCCUAGUUUGGCAAAUACCUAGUCAAAGCCCUUAAGCCCUAUCUUCAUCCUCUUCCAAGUGUUUCAGCCAAACCAUAGCUCUCAGCCCCAAUCACACAUAAGAAUCGCCCCAGACCCCACCCUAAUUAAAUCUGAAUCUCUGGGGUAGGACCUGUGCAUCAGCAUUAAUCUCCCAGGUGAGUCUCAUGUAGACCCAGGAUUGGGAACCACUGGACCAGGUAGGUGAUCUCCGAGGCUCUAGUUUGUGUUCACACUUGGAAUUCUAAGAAGUAUUGGUACUUCCCUGAAUAAGUCAGACCUUGGGUCAGUAGCACUCUGUUCUUUGCAUGCUUCUUAGUCCUUUAGAAUACCAAAGGGUUCAACACAAGAACCUCUGUGAUGCAAUUAUUUAUAUUGAUGAGCCAUAAGCAAAAAGGAAGCAUGUAGAAAUCGAUGAACACAAAGUAUAGAUCGCCAUCUUUCUGAAUUGUGCUUGUUACUGGUAAUUGCCAUGGCUAGUGAUGAACAGGGCUGACACCCAUCAAUCAUCCUCGAGCUUGCUAAGGCUGCACGUGUUGGGAGAAGAAGGCAGCUCCAGCCGGUCAGAGCUCACUCACAGCAGCUGGAAGUCACAUUGUCUACAUCUGCAGCCUCCAGGGUCCCCUCAGAAGGAAAGUUUGAGCCCAAAGCUGGAUGUCAUUCAUGACGACAUCCCUGUAAGUGCACCCUGAGAUGGGACUCUAGCCUCAAAGACUCCUUAAGUGCUGGUAAAGGCUGUGGUACCCAGGAGGGGGGCAGGACUCCUGCAGCCAUGUCUGUGCCGUGUGCUUUGCCCUACAGGAUUCUUUGGAGCUGACCUUUCCUAAGAGGGGCUUCUUGAGAGAAUGUACUUCUCUGCUAUCUAGAUACCUGAAGUAGUCCUGUUGCUUACUGACCCCACAUCCUGGAUUGGCUGAUCCUUGGAUUUUUGUAGGCUAUCCCAGGAUUCUUCAAAGUUCCUUUUUCAUUGAACCUAACUUGUCAGUUUCUGUUGCUUACAAUGGAAAGAACCAUAACCUUUACUCUCCCUUCUCCCAAGGAAUAAUAGUUCACUGUGAUUGAACAUGUGUUAUUCAUCAGGUACUUAAAUACGUCAUUGCUAAUCCCCAAAACAACUCUAUAUGCCAGUGUUUCUAGAGUGAAAAAACUGAAGUUUUGGAUAAAUUGCUCAAAUAUAAAGCUAGUAAGCAGCAAACGUGGGGGACUUAAUCCCAAAGGCAGCCCUCACUGGGGGACAGAGGUCAGUGGACAGCUAUCCCAGCCUUCCUCCCUUCAAAGGGCAAUUCUGAGACAUCUUCCACAUAGUUCUUCAGCGUGGCCCUCACAGGAUUGAACACCAGCUUCCCACUCUGGUCCCCAGCUCAAUAAUAUCAGUAAUGCAUUUUUUUUUAAAUUGGUUCUUUUUAGUUAUAUGUGGCAGUAGAAUCCAUUUUGACAUAAUUAUACAAACAUGGAAUAGACUGGUUCUAAUUCAGACCCCAGCACCUCUCCUUCCCCUUCCCUCUCCCCACCAGGGCUCCCUUCCCUCUACUGAUCUUUCAAUAAUGCACUCUUUUAGAGAAUUUGAGAGUAUGUGAUAACUGUUUCUUAAUUUCUUUUCAGAUUAUUCAUUUCUGUCAUAGAAACAACCAAUCUUUUGUGCAUUGAUUUUUGUACCCUGAACUUUGCCAAAUUUGUUUACGGGCUCUGAUAGUUUACUUGCAGUUUCUUUGGGAUCUUUUUCUCUGUCUAGAAUAUGUUGUCUGCAAAGACAGUUUCACUUCUUCACCAGUUUGGACGCUGUUUUUUUCCUUGGCAUUGUUCUGGCCAGAACAAUGUGGCUGCGGUGGUGAGAGCAAGCCUCCUUGCCUAGUGCCUGUUCUUGGGGAGAAAACGUUCAGGCUGUCACCACUCGGUUUAAUGUCAGCUGUGGGCUUUUCAUAAACUCCCUUCAUCAUACAGAGGAAGUUUCCUUCUAUUUCUAGUUCCCUGAGUAUUUCUAUCAUAAAAGGUGUGGACUUCUGUCAAAUGCCUUCAUGCAUCAUUCAGAUAAUCAUGGGGAGUUUCCUCUUCACUCUAUUAAUGUGGUAUAUUAUGUUCAUUGAUAUUUUUCUUAAGUUAAACUACCCUUGGAUUCCUAGGAUACAUCAUCCUUGAUCAUGAUGAAUAAUCCUUCUAAUAUGUUGUUGGACUCAGAUUGAUAAUGUUUUGUGGAGGAUUUUUGUACCUAUGUUCCUAAAAGAUAUAGGCCUAUAAAUUUCUUUUUUGCAAUGUUUUUAUGUUGCUUUGGUAUAAAGGUAAUGCUGGCCUCAGUUGAGAAGUGUUCCUUGCUCUUCUGUAUUUUUUUAGGCGGGUGGUGGUUGAGAAGAAUUAGUGUUGAUUUUUCUGGAAGUGUUUGGUAGAACUUACCUUGGCAGCCAUCUAGCCCUAGACUAAAAAUGAACUUUCAUAAUCUGUCCCUUCUUCCUCGCAUCUCUUCCCUACUUGCUCCCCCCUGCUUCUUGAGAUCCCCUCCCAAACAAAAUACCUGCUCCCAAGUUCUUGACUCGGGCUCUCCUUUCAGGGGAACCCCAGCUAAGGUGGGAUGAGAUGAGAAUGAGAAGUGUCCAUGUGAAAAUAUAAACAUGGUGAAUGAAGAACACCCACUCGCUGGAGUAGACGGGUAGAAGAGGGAGUUUCUGCCCAGCACUGGUGAACUAGGUUUCAUGAUGAUGGACUGCAGACUCCAAAGAGAAUUGAGACCUCCAGGAAUGAUUGGAUCCAGCCAGGUGAGGAGUAGCUGGAUGAGCUGAAGAGUGAAAGGUCUGAGCAGGUGGUAAGGGCACAUGAAACAAUUGAAGGAAAAGCCAGCCACAUAGACGUUGGAAAGUUGAUGGGCACCAAGAGCACAUUGCAAGAUGGAAGACUUGGCCUCAGACACUGAAUCGGGCAGAGAGUGGAGAAGUUCCUGCCGGUGGAGAAUGGGGUGAUCAAGGGGAAAUGAUGGGGGACUGUGACAGCCCUGGGAAAGUGUCUUGAAGACCCUCCAAUACAGGGAGCUUAAUUGUCCAAGGACCCCAGCUGCCAUCAAAUCUAUCACCACAUCUGUGCCAAGGCUCCUGUAGCCAGUGUUGGGGUACAGCAGGGACACAAAGGCAGGCCAUCCCCGGAGACUGCGACAUCUCUCCAGAAGACUGACUUGAGGACUCAGCAACGACCUUGCUGGCCCCUCACUAGUUUGCAAGGUGGCCUAGGACGCUCUCCUCCAGCUGCCUUCUCUGUCCUUCAGUCAGGCCCAGUGUGACCUUGUGAUCUGUUGGCUCCUCCAGCCUUUCCCAGCUCCUGCCUCAUUUUCUAGCCCAGAUAUUUUCAAAUUGUCACACAUUUAAUCCCAUCCUGGUACCUGCAUUUUGGAGGACCUGGACUGUCAUACUGUAUGUGACAUGUCCAUUUGGACCUAAAGCUGAGGAGGUAGGCCAAGUACCCCUCACACACAGGGGCUGUGCUAGUAAGGCACCAGCGGAGGAAGAAGGAUCUACAUGGCAGGAGGGAGGUUAUCCAGCAAGAUGGGGCGGUAGACAGCCCCAAAGGCAGAGGGAGAUAAACAGCCAGCAACUUAGAGGACCUUGGAAAUGGGUGCAGUUGAGUCAAUCCCACUUAAUGUAUUAGUGGUGGUAAGUCACCACUAAAAUGAGUUGCUACUUCAUAUUUGUUAACUUAUCUCUGUUUUGCAGGGUACCUUGAAAUCUCCCACAGCAGCUGAUGACACCUAGGUCCAUCUUUUUGGUUCUUUAGAUGGAAGCUGCAGGCAAUUACAGUUAGCGGGUACCUAGCCUGAAGGAUGCCCCCAAAACCAAUCCAGCUACUCUGGAAUUGUCCAGGGGUGUAGUUUGCAUCCCAUCCUCCCUGGAGUGAGUGUUAGAUCUUAUUUUAUCUCGAUCUCUAAAUGCCUCUUUCUUUAGACCAGUAGGGGGUUCCCCCUUGAUUGAAACCUAUUCCUUCCCAUUCCCUGAGAAAUAUAAGGAGUAAAAGGAAUUUUUAAAGUGCCCUUGAAGCCAUUUAACUUCUCUGCAGAUCACUUCAGACUUAGUAUCCCUCUGGGGAAUGUCUCCACAGGGGAAUUGGGUUUGCAUUGGGCAGGGGAAGGCUGGUUCCCUAAACAUUCUCCAUUUCCCACACAGCAAGCACCCAGAGGGUAUGGAUAAUUGCUUUUCUACCUCCUCCAAGGACAAAUUCCCCUUGGACUAGUAAACAUCCUCUCCAGAUCCAGUCCCCACCCUGCUGUGUGCCCAAGAGGGGAUCCCUAGGCACUCCUUCUCUGCCUCUUUGCUUUUUCUGUGUUCUUUUUCUGUAAUUCCCGUGCCCUUGACUUUUGAGUUCAGCUUAUGUCAGGGGUUAGAGAGCAUAAAAGAGAAGUCAGGGUAUUGAUCUCUACCUUCCCAUACACCUGCCUGUCUCUGGGAUCCAGUACCCCUCCCUCCUCUUGGUUCUGUAGACAGUGUGGAAUGGUACCCCCCACACUAAUACUGAAGCAUCACUUAACAUUGCCCACACCCUAUCACAGCUUGGGAAAUACCUCUGAUGGUUCAUUGACUGGGCUAAAGAAUGCCCAGAUUGCUGGUAAAACAUUAUAUCUGGUUUGUCUGUGAAGGUGUUUCUGGAAGAGAUUGGUAUUUGAGUGAGUAAAUGAAGUAAAGGAAAUCCACUCCCACCAAUGUGGGCAGCCAAUGUGGAGAGUAGUGACAGAAUGGGAGAGAAGUGACCAAGAUUGGGGGUAUCUGACUUCAUGGAUGUGGCAUGCCUGCUGCCUGGGAAUGUUUUUGGUUAGAUUCCCAUAUUUCCAGCUGCUAUGGUAAUGCCCUGCCUGAAGAGGCUCUGUGCAAAAGUCUUAUCAGCUUUGACUUUGAUCUUGGGAACAUAGCUCCCAGGGAUAGAGGAAUUCUCAUGCUAGACAACCACAAUGUUUCACCAGCUCUGCUACUCAUGAGCCUGCCCACUUAACAGGAACUAUAAAAAUGGGCCUCCUUGAGCACUACACAAAGCUCCAAACAUAGCACAUUGCAAGUGUGGAAAAGCUGCAUAGAUGUUUCUAGUUCUAUAACUUUCUUGAGUACAAAGAAUAAUGUUUGCAUAGUCUUUAACCUGAUAAUAAGACAUAUCUAAAUAAAGAAUGCUGACACAACUUUUUAAAUUUUUUUAAAAAGUAAAUGACAGUGGAAUGCAUUACAAUUCUUAGACAUACAGCACAAUUUUUUUAUAUCUCUGGUUGUAUAUGAAGUAUGUUGACACCAAUUCGUAUCUUCAUACAUGUACUUUGGAUAAUGAUGUCCAUCACAUUUCACCAUCCUUACUAAUCCCCUGCCCCCUCCCUUUCCCUCCUAUCCUUCUUCCCUAUCAAGAAUUCAUAUAUUCCUCCCAUGUUCCCCCUCCCUACCCCACUAUGAGUCAGCUUCCUUAUAUCAGAGAAGACAUUUGGCAUUUGUUUUUUUGGGGAUUGGCUGACUUCACUUAGCAUUAUCUUCUCCAAUGCCACCCAUUUACAUGCAAAUGCCGUGAUUUUAUUCUUUUAUUGCUGAGUAAAAUUCCAUUGUGUGUAUAUGCCACAUUUUUUUAUCCAUUCAUCCACUGAAGGGCAUCUAGGUUGGCUCCACAGUUUAGCUAUCAUGAAUUGUGCUGCUAUAAACAUUGAUGUGGCUGUUUCCCUGUAGUAUGCUGAUUUUAAGUCCUUUGGGUAUAGACCAAGGAGAUGGAUAGCUGGGUCAAAUGGUGGUUUCAUUCCCAGAUUUCCAAGGAAUCUCCAUACUGCUUUCCAUAUUGGCUGCACCCAAUUUGCAGUCCCACCAGCAAUGUAUGAAUGUAACUUCCCCCCCACAUCCUCACCAAUACUUGUUGUUUGUCUUUAUAAUAGCGCCAUUCUGACUGGAGUGAGAUGAUAACUUAAAGUAGUUUUGAUUUGCAUUUUUCUAAUUGAUAUAUGAAAAAAUAUUCAUUACCUCUGUUAUUUGAUUUUAUAUCAUCUUCUGAGAAGUGUCUGUUCAGGUCCUUGACCCAUUUGUGGACUGGGUUAUUUGCUUUUUUUUGGUGCUUAGCUUUUUGAGUUCUUUGUAUACCCUAGAGAUUAGUGCUUUUAUGUGUGAGGGGUAAAAAUUUGCUCCCAGGAUGUAGGCUCUCUGAUCAUCUCAGAUAUUUUUUGUUGUUGUUUUUUUGUUUUGCUGAGAAGAAGCUUUAGUUUGAUUCCAUCCCAUUUAUUGAUCCUUGGUUUGAUUUCUUGCACUAUAGGAGUCUUAUUAAGGAAGUUGGGGCCUAAUCCCACAUGAUAAAGGAUUAGAGCCUACUUUUUCUUCUAUUAGACAGAGUUUAAUUCCUAGGUCCUUGAUACACUUUGAGUUGAGUUUUGUGCAUGGUAAGACAUAGGGAUUUAACUUCAUCUUGUUGCAUGUGAAUUUCCAUGGAAGAUGAUCUGUGGAAGAUGAUCUUUUCUCCAAUGCAAUUUCUUGGCACUUUUGUCUAAUAUAAGAUAAUUGUAAUUUUGUGGGUGAGUCUGUCCUCUAUUCUGUGCCAUUGGUCUACCAGUCUGUUUUGGUGCCAAUACCAUGCUGUUUUUAUUACUAUUGCUCUGUAGUAUAGUUUAAGGUCUGGUAUAGUGAUGCUACCUGCUAAGGGUUGCUUUAGCUAUUCUGGGUCUCUUAUUUUUCCAAAUGAAUUUCAUGAUUUUUUUUUUAUUUCUAUGUGAAAUGCCACUGGGCUUUUGAUUGGAAUUGCAUUAAAUCUGUUUAGUGCUUUUGGUAGUAUGGUCAUUUUGAUAAUAUUAAUUCUGCCUAUCCAAGAACAAGGUAGAUCUUUCCAAAUUCUAAGGUCUUUGUUUUCUCUUUGGGGUUCUAUAGUUUUCAUUGUAUAGAUCUUUUACCUCUUAAGUUGAUUCCCAAGUAUCUUUUUUUUGAGGUUAUUGUAAAUGGGAUAAUUUUCCUCAUUUCCUUCUCAGAGGAUUUAUCAUUGAUAUACAGAAAUGCCUUUGAUUUAUGCAUGUUAAUUUUAUAUCCUGCUACUUUGCUGAAUUCAUUAACUAGUUCUAGAAGUUUUCUGGUGGAGCUUUUUGGGUCUUCUAGGUAUAGAAUCGUAUCAUCAGCAAAUAGUGCUAGCUUAAGUUCUUCUUUUCUUGUACAUAUCCCUUUACUAAUUGCUCUGGCCAAUGUUUCAAGACCUAUGUUGAAUAGAAGUGGUGAAAAAAGGGCAUCCCUGUCUUGUUCCAGUUUUUAGAGGGAAUGCCUUUAAUUUUUUUUUUUCCAUUUAGAAGGAUGUUGGCGUGAGGCUUAACGUAUAGCCUUUACAAUGUUGAGAUAUGUUCCUGUUAUUGCUAGUUUUCUAGUGUUUUGAACAUAAAGGGAUGCUGUAUUUUGUCAAAUGCUUUUUCUGCAUCUAUUGAGAUGAUCAUAUGAUUCUUUAAGUCUUUUGAUGUGAUGAAUUACAUUUAAUGAUUUCUAUAUGUUGAACCAAUCUUGCAUCCCUGGGAUGAAUCCCACUUGAUCAUGGUGCACAAUCUUUUUGAUAUGUUUUUGUAUUUGAUUUGCCAAAAUUUUAAUCAGAACUUUGCAUCUAUGUUCAUUAGAGAGAUUGGUCUGAAGUUUUCUUUCUUUGUAUCUUUGCCUGAUUUUGGGAUCAGGGUGAUAUUGGCCUCAUAGAAUGAGUUUGGAAGUGCUGCCUCUUUUUCUAUUUCCUGAAAUAAAUUGAAGAGCAUUGGUAUUGAUUCUUCUUUUAAAGGUUUUGUAGAACUCUGCUGUGUAUCCAGCUGGUCCUGGGCUUUUCUUGGUUGGUAAGCAUCUGAUGGCUUCUUCUAUUUCAUCACUUGACAUUGGUCUGUUUAUCUUGUCUGGAUAUUUCCCAGCUCCUGGUCUCUCUGGUAGGCUCCAAGCUUUAGUCCUGUCCCCUCUCACUUAUCAGGUCCCACCUGCAGGACCUCUCACCCAGGCUCACACCAGGUGGGUGGCACCCUGGUCACACUGCACACCUGCCCUACUGGGAGCUGUUUUUGUGUUGAGUGGUCACUGUGCCAAGGUUGCCACUUGGGGUGGGAGUUGGAUACCUGGUACCUGGCCAGAUAGAUCCGAUCUAUGAGCUGCCCCCACCAAAUAGGGGCGAGAAAGGUUCUCCAAGAUGGAGUUGGUCUGCUUCCAGUGCAGGGGUGUCUGAGGUGAGGGGACCGGGUAGUGGUGUUGUGCUGUGGCUAGGUAGUAGCUGAAUGACCUGAGUGGGAUCAGAGCACAGUAUAGAGUUCUGCAGAGGUGCUGAUAAGUGACUCUGCUAAGCCAUUUGAGAGCCAUACAUGGGCUAGAACUGUGGGCUUUGGAUUUUGGGAGCCAGGGGUCCGGAGUCCUGCUCAAAUGCUGAGGCUCUGAGCCCUGCGUGGGGGGUCACAGCACUGGUGAUUUCUGUGGAAAUCGGCUGUAUAGUGGUCCUCUUACACUCUAUGAGGUACAGUAUUUCAACUAGGUGAGAUCUGGGUCAUGGAGCAACACAGGAUGCUGCAUUUGGCCCACCAUACUAUCUUGGAAUCCCUGGCAUAAUUCUUUAGAUCUGCUUCUCCAUCAGAGCAGCACUCCACCUGAUCCCAGCUCUUGAUAUCUGCAUGUGUGAAUUUUUUCUUUUCUAAUCCCCCAUGGCCUCUAACUGGUACCACAACUUUGGCCAUGUAGGAUCCACUGAGGACCUGAAUAGAACAAAAAAAAAGGCAAAAGAAGGGUGAAUUACCUCUCGCUCUCCUUGGGCUGAGACUUCAUCUUUUCCUGCCUUUUCACAUCAGAGCUCCUGAUUCUUGGGCCUUUGUACUGGCUUUCCUAUUCUGCAACUCUAGAGAACAGAUUAUGGGGCUUCUCGGCAUCCAUGAUCAUGUCUGCCAAUCCUUAUGGUAGAUCUCCUCUUACAACCCAUAAGAUAUGCAUAAAGAUAUGCUUCUCUGAAAAACCCUGAUUAAUACAGUCUCUAUUUAAAUCUCCCAAGUGAUUCAAAUGGAGGGUGGGACACUUUUUCAGGGAACUCGUACAGAUUUCCUCGGUGAUGGCUGCUGGCCCAUUCCCAGAUUUCAGGAGGAUGUCUGUCUCCUGCCCUGGAUAAAGAGCUGGUUGGAGCAUGGCUUGGGGCCAGGAGUUCUGGCUGAAUGGGACCCUGGGCCAGUCACUUCUGCUGUUUAGUCUUUAAACUGAUGCUGGCUGCCAUGCUUGAUAGCUCUGCUCAUGACUGCAUCCAAGAUGCCAUGACAGACAGCCACCUCCACUUGGGACCCGUCCUCAGUAGAGAAUCCCAUGGCUCCCUCUCAUCCAGGGAACAGAUAAGAUAUUCCUUCAGGCGACCUACAAGCAUAUCCCUUUCCCUCCUAGGAACUCGGGGAUAGGAAUGUGCUCUGUCAUUGUUUCCUGAGUGCUCAGAUGGAAGCUGGUAUCACACCACUAAUCCUCAGGGCUUUCCAGGUUAUGGGAAUUUUCCUGGGAAUAUCUUUCCAAAUGAAGCCUUCUGGUUCUCAGUUUUCCAGAGGAAGCCAGAAAGUGUAAGGGUCCGGCGAACGUCGGAGGAAGAGACCACCAAGAGAUCGGCUCAUGCAACAGCAAAAGGGGUUUAUUGAGGAUCCAAUCCAGCGUGCUGGGGCUCCGUGCUCACUCAACAAGGGAGAGCAGCCCAGAGCCCUGGAGCAGGGGUUGAGCAGUGCUUAAGUACACUUUUUGGGGAGGGCGGGGGCUUUGCAUACAUCAGAGCAAAUCAUCAUGAGGCUCGGGAAAGUCCAACAACUCUCAAACUUGAUUAGCACAUUCAUUGGCAGGAACAGGUCAGGCGGGGGUGAUAGGUCAAUCCUAAGAAGGUGGGUACAUUCAAACUGAUUGGUUUAGGUCCUGCGAUGCCUACGUGCCAAGCUGCACAGGGUCCUAGGUUAUUUAUCUACUGGACAGUCCCGGGAAUUGUCCUAACAGCUACAGGAAUUUCAGGUUUUAGGUGUAGCAUAGGAACUUAACAAUACCUGGUCCUUUACAUUUUAACUCAGGCUUUGCAGCUUAGAAACUUUACAAUACCUGUUUUUUUAACACUUUAACUUCAAUUUCUUUUACCCUUACAAAAGCCCUUUGAGUAUUUAAGGCUUCCCCAGAACUGAACAGGGUUCUGACCAACACAUGAUGAGACAAAGCAUUUUGAUUUGUAAACAAUAGAUGCUUAUAGCUUUAUAGAAAUCAGUUAGCCAACACAAUGGAGACUGAGCAUCAGCACCUGAGGAUGGGAUGGAUAUCCUUGUUGUAUAGGGAGUACUUCCUCAAUGGGCAUAUUGAGAAGGGGGUUGCGUACUCAGGGAAUCUAAGAAAUGUAUCAGUCAGCUUCCAUGCAAGAAAUGAAAGACGGCUCUAGGAGAUUGAAGUGGAAAGAGAUUUAAGACAUGGAAUUGAGUGCCUCUAGGAUCCUCAUUCACAUUCUCUUUCCUUGUCUCCUCUGCCUGGUCUUUUCUCUUUUCAUUCAUUCAAUUUCAUUUUGUAAAAAAAAAAAAAAAAUGCUGAUCACAACCCACUGAAUCGAUCUGGCUUCUCACUAAUGGGUUUCAACCUGCAGUUUAACAAACACCGGUGCUGAUGAAUUGUAUGCAAACCCUUUGCUGCCCUUCUGUCUCAUUGCGCCACCUGUGUGGAUGAAAUGCUCUCUGGUCACCUGUGCUGCGCACAACAGCAGGACAGGGUCUGUGGAGGUUUCCCAGAAGCACUUGAGAAAAAAAUAUCACUUCUGCUUCUUAUCCAGCAAUGGCUAUCAAUCCAAGAGACCAUUUUCUGCCAUGGAGACUGGUUUUUAUUUCAAGAUAUCUGAGCCAGGACAAUGGGGACAUUCAUUACAGCCCCUGUGAUAUGGACCCAGCAUUCCACCUGGCAUGGAGCAGGUUUAUCUCAUCUACCGUUUGUCACAACCCUAUGAGGUCAAUAGCGUUCGUCCCACUUUACGGAUAAAAAAAUGAGCUCAGAAGUCAAGCAACUAUUUAGGGUCAUGUGAUCACAAAGUUGGAAUUUAAACCCAGGUCUGUUCAUAGAUCCAAAGCCUCUAUUGUCUUGGAAACAUUAAAAUUUUGAAGAGUUAAACAUUAGCAUUGAGAUGAACACAAGGCAUCUGGACCUCACACACACACACACCAUAGAGUUACUAAAUCAAACCAGAUUUAAUUUAUUGCCCAACUGUGCCAACAUGGGUAUAGAACAUAUGGAAUCCAGCCAUAUUGGGUCUACUAUACCCCUCAGAAAAAGGAAGAAGGUACUAGAAGGCUGGCAAACACCAAGGGGGAUUCAAUCAUGCAGACAGCCCCUUCUGAUGCAGAAAAGCUACUGCGGCAGGCACCGUGGAUCAGCUUGCUCACUUUUUUUUUUGUCAUUCUUUUUUUUUUUUUUAAUUUUUUAUUGUUGGCUGUUCAAAACAUUGAAUCAAAUUGUGAAAUAUGAUAUAUCAGCUUGCUCACUUUCAAUCUGCCCUACUCCCAGGGUGCCUUGCACUGCCAAGCCUGCAGAUCUACAUUCCUUAGACUUCUUUGUGAUUCCUGUUCAGCAUAUGAAUUAAGUUCUCUAAUUAAAUGCUGUUAUGCCAGACUCCAAGACAAGCGAGAUGGAGGCCACCUAGCUACUGCCUUGGGGCAGUUGUAGAGGUGGGGCUCUCCUUUCUCCCAGAAAAAAUAGCCAGGUGCCCAUUCUUCAGCUUCUUGGGUGCAGAGAAGCAACGGACACAAAGGCUGAUAAUCGCAUUCCAGCCUUGAGAGCAGUUCAAAACGGAUAGGUGCAGGGCACAGCUAUGGGGCUGGCCCCCAUUCUAGAUUCCUGGACUCAACGUGGCUGUCGCUGUGGCCUUGAAUUAAAUAGCUCCAGUGGUGAACUCAGGAGCAGUUCCACUGACAGCUCAGGUCCAAGGUGUCCCAAGGAACUCCCCUGGACCCAGCCUGAAGCCCAUAUGGUUCUAGCCCUCCCAGAGAUUGAGGCAGCCACUGUUCCGAGGAAUUGUCAUUUCCCUUAGUGCGGGCACGCAUCUGCGCAUGUGCAUACACAGGGUCACAAUGUCAAAUACACUACUUGUUGGCAUCACUGCAAAAACUGUUUGAAAAAUAAUAAUCGAGAUACCCAGCCUCCUAUUCUGGUGUGGGAGAACAUUGACAAUUGCCUUGCUAUACAACUUGCAAUAAAAAUGGAUUUCAGGGAGACUAACUUAAUUCCCCAGGUGAUGAAUGUACACCUGGAAGCUUCCAGCAGCCUCGCUGCUCCCUCAAUACCUGGGGUAUCAUGGCUUCACGUCCAGUGGCCAGCUACAGCCAUAUGCAGAGCUGGUCAAGAUCUGCAUGAGUGUGGUGCCCUUGGUCCACCUCCAUGUCUUUGCCCUGGGCGGCAUUGCCGCCCACUUGGUGGCUUCCGCCCCGAAACGCCUCUCACCUGCUGCUCCCAGCCAGAAAAUAGACUCUGCUGCAUGUUCACAGCUGCACAAGGCUCCUGCCGCAGCCCUCAGCCCCUGGCUGUGGUCGUGUUCGCCAAGCCCCGCCAGCCUCUGCAGACAGUUGUGAUGGUAACAGAUGUGCUUGUUCCUCAGACCACGCCAGAUGGCAAAGUGACUGUGGAAACCUGCCAGGUCCGUCAAAGGGGCUGUCCAAGAUUGGGGCUUACCAGGACCCUCCCAGUUCCCCGACUGCCUUCCCUCUUCUCCCUACUCCCUUGUCCCCUCUCCUGACCCUGCUUUCCUCUGUGUGGUUCUGAGGCUUUUGGAAACUCCUUCAUCUUGGAAGAAAAAAAUCCUAGGCACAGCGCUGCCCCUGGAAACCCCAAACCACUGCAUCUUUGGUGUUUUCUAUUCUCCUGACUGAGAACCCCACCCCUCCCUCCCAGGGGUGGCUAUAAGAUGAGUGGGAGAAUUUUUCACUUUCAAGCUGUUCUGUGUGGGUGGCUUUUACUGGAAUAAAAAUGGCCUCUUAGAUGCCUAAACAGGAUCACUUCAUCCCCCCACCCCAACCCCAGGAAGAGCCCCGAACUUGGUGUUGCAAGUGGACUUGGGGUCCAGAGAGCCAGAAAGACUUUACUGAGGAUGAAACCAGGAGUCAGAUUCUUAAACCCCAACAGGGAGCUGUCCAGUGACUCUCAGUGAUGAGAGAAUUGUUCUGUCUGUGCCAAUGCAGUAGCCAGUAGCCGUUCAACCCUAGCAAGAACACUAGCAGGACUGGGGAACACAGUUUCCAUUGUAUUAAAUUGUAAUUAAUGAAAAUACAAAUGGAAGUCGUCACAAGGCUGGUUCAAAUCAUGUUGGACAGCACAGCCUGGGGAUCCACCUAGUCUCUCCUCCCCAGCUCCCCCCAGGAAUCUGUCCUCUGAGUCCUUCUCUCCAUGGCAGCCCCUCACUCCAGAGCCGCCUCCCCCCCCCCACGUCCAACAGCCCCCAAAUCUGAUCUGCAGUUAUCAUGACAGCAAAGGUGAGCCCAGAGAAGGGGGAAACAGGAGGGUAAAAGGCAUUAAAGAAACCACCAUGAAGAUUAAGUGAUUAAGGGAACAGGGCUCCUGCUGAGGCAGUUCUGCCUAAUGAGGCAUGGCAGGUGUCAAUCUCUGGGCCAAGAAGAGGUUCCAUACUUGGGCCCAGCUCUCAGCCAGAGAGCUGCCAUUUCCUUCUCACAAGUUCAGGGUCAUCUGCUGUCAGCAACCCCAUCUGUCUCAGCUCCUCAUCUUUCAAGGUAAACAGAGGAUGAUAACUCAAUUUUCCGUGGGUAUCUGCAAAAUGGGCUGAGGGGAUCCAGGUUAGAUACGAUGACAUCCAUGGGUACCCAUCUGAGAGUAAAGAGCUAGCCUGGAAGACGGCAGGUGCCAGACACACGGAGGAGCCCACCUUUCUUUAGAAUUUCUGGGCAGGUACACACCCCACUUCCCCUAUAUGCCAUGUGGCAUUGGUGACUAAAUUAAAGCGGGUGCCCACAUUCACGGCUUCACUGAUUCAGUUCUCCAGCCAGCAGUUAUUAGCAGUGGUCCACACUCUGACCAAACAUGGCUCACGAACCCCCAUAAAAUAAAGGCUUGCGGCUUCCAAGAUUGCCAGAGUCAGGAGGGAAGGAGUCCCCAACCCCCUACUCCUUCCUACAGAGAAAUAUGAUGGCUUCCUGGUGGCACAGGGGCCUCUGUUUUCCUGUUGUAGCCAUAGCUCCCAACACACAGUGGGACUUCAGCCUUCCAUUCCUUCAUCUGUAAAAUGGGGAUGGAAUCUUUCCCGGCUCCAAGAUCCCACAUGCUCCCUGCAGAGGGAGACAUCAGUACACCUGGGGACCGUGUUCAACCUUAUUUCCAAAUUCCCUCUUCCCUGUCUCUCAUAUGAAAAUUCUGAUUAGACGCCGGGGGAAGAGAACACUGAUGCUCCGCUCUCUCCUGUCCCCUUCCCUACUCACAGUGCUGUCUGCCCUGCUGUCCCCGACUCAUUUCUUUUAUUCCUCAGCUCUAAGGGGGAAUUUGCAUAUUAAUUUGAAAAUGAGAUCAGUUAUUAGGCAUAACCUGUCAUGUAUCAUCCAAUGCAUCUGGACCUGGAUUAGAUUCAAUAUUGCCACAGAAUAAAGACGGGGAGGGGGGGGAGACUAAAAAAUUUAAACUCAUUAUUCUACUAAUCCUCCCGCUUGGCUGGGCUCCCUGGAGGUGUGUUAGGAGGUAAUUGAAAACACAGAUUUGCUGAGAAGACACUGGAGACGAACAUUGCCAGAAAACGCAGGGCCUUUCUGAUGGGCUUUUCCCCUCGUUAACCCACGAGGAAGGCAGCAGAGUGAAAGGUGGGGGGGGCAGAGACUAUGCGAACAAGGUGCCAGGACCCAACCUGGCUGCAGGAAGCAGAGGUUGAGCCUGGGCCUCUGCUGCCCCUGCAAGGGGGGAAGAAAGUGGGAGGGAGAGUAAGGAGCAACUUGUGGCCCCUCUCUGCAGUCCCUGCCCACCCUGCCCUUUGCUGGGGCCCGUGCUACCUUAACUAAAGAGAAUGCCAAGCCCAGGGUUUGCAAACAGCAGCCCAGACUUGUGUUUUGCUUGGCUUCAUUGCAAAGUGUCCCUUUUGAAAGACAAAGUUAGCACCAGCAUGGACACAUCUGAGAAUUUCAUAGAAAUCCAGAUUCCUGGACGUGCUGGGCCUGCAUCUCAGGUGGAGCUUGGGGGUUGCUACAGACCCAGCAGGCUGGCUCCUCUGCUUCUGCUUCCUGUCUGAAUCCCCCAGGCACUGGUUUGCUAUUCCCUUCAAGUGACAGCUCACAGGAAAUGGAUCAACUGUAACUGGAGAUCAGAGGAUCCCAGGCUCAGGGGAGGGAAGGGAGCCGUGUCUCCCAAACACGCACUGUGCUAGGCAUGGAGACUAACAAGGGUGACAAAGUCUGUCUUUUAGGGAGUCUUGAGAGGGGAUGAGUGAAUCUGUACAGAGAAAGCAAACCCAGGAAAUGACCAUUUCUUGUCAGCUGAGGGCUUCAAGAAGAGACUGCACAGUGUUGGGAGGGGGAAGCAAAGGAGGUCCAUUGAGAUUGGCUGGUCCUACGGAGAGAGGACCACGCCCAGCCCUGUUGUCCGAGGGAGAUGCCCAGACUGUGGCCAAGGAGGGGCAGGACCUCUGCAGGGCUGAGCCACAGGGCCCAGGGAAGAUGGAAAAGGCCGUGGUCCUGGCUCCAGGGGGCGCUUUGCCAGCAAUUGACUUAGCAAAUUGCUCUUGGCAAAUGUCCAGACAUUUCUGAAUACUAAUCUUCCCAACCAGACUGUGGAAUCUAGGGUGUUUCCUGCUCUCCCUCUUUCCAGGAAAAGCGAGUAGGAUGUGAGAAAGAGGCCGUCUAAGUCACAAGGAACUCGGGGGACAAGGCAUAUUCAGGGAUGCUGGGGAGGAGGCCAAAGGUCCCAUGCAUCCAAGUGCAACCUCUUACGAGCUAACCUCAGGCCCUGUGCCCCAGAGGGUGGCCUGGCACCAGCCACAAGGUAGCCCAUCUCCUGCAAAUGUGUGGUUAUGACAACCAUCCAUUGCCACUGCAGGUAUUAGCUGCUGCUUAAUUAAUUUCUUAAUGAAGAAAGCAGAGCAUGUCCCUGUGCAGCUAGUGAGUGGAGGCAACCGGUCCCCUCGCCCUUCUCCCCCACCUGCAGCCCGGCUGUAUGAUUUAUAAGUUCUCUUUUAAAACCAGCACUGGGAACAAGUCACUGGCCCUCUCUGGGGCUCAGUUUCUUCAUCUGUCAAAUGGGAAUUUAGAUCACUGUUCAUAGCCUAUUAUCUCUUCUGUUUCUUCUCUGCACCUCCUUACCCAAGGAGAAAAAAAAAUUCAGACAAAAAGAGAAUGAGCUUUCAAAAUCCAUACUCUGGCUUUGUAUCAAUUAAGCCCUCUAGUUAUGUGGAAAGCGUUUCAUUAAUUGUUUCCACCCAACCAGACAUGAAGAGGGGUAGAAAGUCCCUUGAUGGUUACCUAAAUGACUGAAGGAAAUGAGCGAAGUAAAUCCCCAGCUCAUAUCUCACCAUGGUGACACUGGCAGGCUUGUUAGCAAAGUUGGAAAAUGACCUGUGGUUGACAAGACCUCUCUCGGGCUGAGAAUGAAUCUUGCAUUUGGGUUCUGUCCUCCAAGAUCAGAUCAAAUGAAUCACUGUUCAAGAGGCUCCCCUGGUGCUUUGUAAAGUCCUUAUCACUGGCAUUAGCGGUGUUUACGAGCUGUCUCUCCUGCAUGGGAAGUGAGCGCCAUUCCAUUGGGGUCUCAGGUGUCUGCCCCAGAGCGGGUCUCCAAAAAUGAUUGGGGAGUCACUGCAUGAAUGAUGUGUGGUUUCUAGAACCAUGUGUUCACUGGCUAUUAGGGGUCGGGGACCAUCAGGGCAUAUUCAGGGCACACAUGCUGAGUAAUGGCUUCUGGGAACCUCUGCAACACCAGGAGUCCAGGAUCCUCGGGUGAAGCCUCAGUGGCUCCCUUUGCCACAAUCCACACCCUGGACCUCGCUGUUCUGCAUCAUCAAACCUUGACAAUCGGGGUCAAGACCAGGAGGAAACACAUCUGCUAGGAUACAACUUUAAGGGGACCACCCCAAACUCAGAAACCAAAUAGUAUUAUAAGACAAUCUCUAAAAAAUCAAAAUGAAUGCAAAGAGAUCCCUGCUGAGCAGAACAUCACCACCUGAAAUUACAGAUGUCACCCAACCUGCACCUCCAUGAGCCUGUUUCGUUUUCUCCAACCUAAAGGGACCUUCUGGAGAUAAUGCCUCAAAAAUAACUCAGACUGGAAGUCUAGUCCUAACCUCCAUUUGUUCAUGAGGACCUUGGGCCCCGAGUUUCAUGUGAAAGUUUGGCCUUGGGGUACUGGUUAUUGUGUGAGAAUCCAACGGGAGGAGGAGACCACACUGAUAUGUGGCUGCCAACCAAGUUAGAAUUUAAUUUUUAAAGACCACCCAGGUUAGGUGGUCUUUGAAAAAGAUCUACUCUGAUUUUUUUUAAAAAAAUGCUUGUUUUCCAAUCAGGGUCAGGCUGGCCUCAUGGUGGUCCACAAUGUUUGUUGACACAGUGGCCACAACCUCUCUUUUGGGAUCAGGCCCUGCCAUAAUAUUUUGUACUAUGGAGUGUUAUUUGCUCAAUUUUGUUGAAUUCUUAAAUAUUAGUGCUGAGAAGGACCUCAUCCAUCUCCUGGCCUGAUGGUACAGGCCAUCAGUGGUUCUCAACAUGGGCAAUAAGGCAGUGUCCAACUCAUUGGGACGUGCUAGCCAUCAAUGAUGCACAGCAUGCCGCCCUCCACUAAGACCCAGUCCAAAGUGUUAAUAGUACCCAGGCUGAGCAACCCUGGGGUAGAGAAAUGGGGAGAAAUGGAUUCACAUUCUCAUGCCAUCCUCUGACUCCUGACAGCCACCCCUCAAUUCGGUUCCAUGAAUCCUGAAAAAUCUUGUGGUCAGUUUUUCUGCCCACUGAUAGGAUCCACCCCAACUCAGGCCCUCAUGAGAGAGGGUUUCUUAAUCUCCUUAAGUUUCUAUCAUUUUCCUAUAACUUUCUUCCCUGACUUCCAGAAAGUCCUUCCUGAGGCCUAGCCUGUGGUGGAGUCUGUUUGGUCACUGUCCAUAUAGCCUGGCCCAUAACAUUCCCCACUGGUUUUAUGGAACUAACCAAAUCAUUGAUCAAUCAUCGUGGGUACACAGUUGAUUAUGAAAAUGUAGGGUCCAAUUAAAAACUAAGAGGACUAACAGCAAUGGACCAGCUAUAGCUGAUAUAAGAGUAGUUAGCCAAGGGGACCAGGAGGACAAAUUUUGAUACCAAUUUCCUUCAUGUUGUCUUGCUUCUUCUCUUCCCUUUAAUCACUUUCCCAUCAGAGAUAGGCUGUCUCUUGGCCUCCUGAGUGAUGAGUACAGAAGCUCCCCUAAUGCCAUACACAGGCCUCCCUGUUUUAAGAGCAAGAGAUCUAAACCUCUUCUGUUUUGUAACACCACUUCUGCCAGGAAGUCACCAGAGGUCUCANUAGAAAUUAGAAGACUCCAGGGGUGUAUUUAACACCUAGGUGGAAAGACAGGAAUGUUGAUAGGGGGACUUGUGUAUUUGGAAACCUGGGGAAGAGAAGCAAAAGCCUCGUUCUUGUAAGUCUCCUCAUGUUUGAGUCCACCUUUCAUAGUCUAAAACCACAUUAAUCAUAAGUGGUUGUUGUUAUGAUUUGAAACCAUAAACAAAUAUCAUGAGAUCUAAAAUCAUAGUCUGAGCAAGAAAAAAAAAUGAUUAACAUUUUCUGGACCCAAACUGGCCUCCAUUUUGUGAUUUAACCCAAUUAUUUAUCUAUACUGACUGUAAUUUUCCCCUCUAAUGUUAGGGACCUUCUACUGCUUUAAGGAAACAAAGGGCGAUGACCGCUCUUACUGCUUCGAGCUGGGGUGUGGGGUGGGGGGACAUUCAGUGGGGCAAACACUUUGAAGUUCCUUUUUAGAAACUGGAUUGGUCAAGGGGGUCCAUGGUAAAAAUCUGGUUCAGGAAGAACAGGUUGAAAAUUCACCUGGGGUGGGCACUUCUAUGAGAGAAACAAAAAGACAUGAGUACUGAAAUAAGAUUAAUACAAAAUAGCAGUUGUAGCAUCUGGAACCUGUCAAUGAAUAUCAUGAAAAUGAUAGAAAUAAAUGAUUGUUUACCAGGAGGUGGAAGAGCUGAGAAAUUGUCCCCAUAACAAGGCCUAACGAGCGAAGCCUAAUAAGGCCAAUAUUUGACUCUUGCCCUCUGAGUCAGCCCUCAUGUUGUCUUGUAAAUCUUUAAUGUUGUCAGAGUUAUCAGGAAUGUAGACAGAACUUUUUGUUACUUAAUGUCAUCUGAUUUUUGAAAAAUAUCUUUUUAUUGGCAUGACCUCUGUGUUCAGUAGAGAUCCCUUUAUCCUUGUUGCUUAGGGCUAGAUAAUCAUACUAGCAAACAUUAAGUCUACCUGUGUAGGACGUUAGGAAGGUCUGUAGGCCUUAAACUGACUAAAAACUUCUGGCUCUGGCACAGUUUAUAUUGAUAGUUAACAGGCAUUCUUGUUUAAGAAUCUCUCUUCUGUUGCCUCCGGUCUUACUUAUUCUUGGGGGGCUAAUACAAGUGUACAUCUUAAGUUACAUUAAAAUAACUAUUUUUUCUUUUUAAAUCCCAGGAAUGGCUGUGCUUUGGUUUUAACUGUUUUUGCUAUGUGUUUGAGAUCAAGCUGGUCAAACUGACCUUGUUCCAAUCUAUUAAGAGUCAGCUGAAUUUCCUUGGGGGUCACUCUUGGGGAACUUAUGAGCAUCCUUUUAGCUCUGCUAGUGCCAUCUGCGUUAGGAUGGGUCAAGGUCUUGCUGACCAUGUGGCUUCCCAUGGAAGAAUCAGGAAUGUUUCCCCUUUCCAAUGACCCUCCUCUUUUGCAGCACGUGCACUGAUUGGCUUGCUGUUCUCCAGUGGUCUCAUUAUUCUCCCUGACUGGGAGGUUAUGUGGCCCAGAGUUGCAAAGCUCUUCCCCUGUUCCCUGGGUUUGGGCUGACUCAGAGGGCAAGAGUCAAAUAUUGGUUUCCUUGGCCCCUUUAUUUUAACUUUAAUCUUUAAGCCUUGGCCUUAAACAUCCAGCAAGUCAGUUUUAUCAGUCUUAAAGUAAGAGUACUGGGCUUUAGCUUUAAUGUAUGUAACUUUACAGUUAAUUUUAUCCCUUUCAAUUACUAUCUGUCUAUAGAUGAUGGCUUAAUACCUCAAAUUAACUUAGGUUGUGUGGUUUUGAAUAUUACCUCUGCAGAACAUUAACAGGCAGAAGUUAUAAAGAAAAUACAAAAUGAAAUUAACAGUAAAAAUAUAUUUAGCUUGUAUAUAAUCUUGAACCUUGGCUGAGCUAUACAUUAUAUCCCCUGUUUGAGAUCACAGUAAUCUUUAUAAUAAAAUCAGUCUUUGAAUACAACUUUAAAUGAGCUGAACUCUGGCCCAUUUUGGAGUCAUUUUGACAUGUAGUCAGGUGGGAGGCAGAGCCUUAUCUCAGGUAAGACAGGGCUCUUCACAAAUCUUGGGUAAAGUGUUCUAGUUUUGAAGCUGAACUUUGUCUCUUUAGAUAACAAUAUAUAUAAACUUUAUGAAAUGAUUUCUGAGUCUGUGUGAAUGUUAGCUAACACAAUAUGACAUAUCUAAAACAUGAAUCAAGGAACGGCUGAGAGCUUUUAACUUUCCAUUUCUGUGGAAAAGUGGCAAAAUGUUUUACAAUACGGAUGUUUUAAACCGCUCAGGCUCUCAUUGUCUUUUAAAAUACCUUUAAAUUUUUAUAUCCCAGUGUAAAAGGUAGCAUAAGGUUUGGUUACAAAACAUCAAAUGAUAUAAAUAAAUCCCCAAUAAAAUCUGUUACCCUGAUUAGUUUAAAAUUAUCAUUUCAGACAGCUUUAGUUUGGAGAACACUAGCUUGAUAAAACAUUCCUUUAAAUCUGAUAUUUUUAUAUUAACCAAGUUUAGCCUUUAAAGAAGAAUGUAGACUCUGUAAUGUACAGAAUUCUUUAAAAUAACAGUACAAUUCUUUAAAAUAACAGUUGCUAUUUAACCACAGAUGUUCAAACCUUAAUUUCUCCAAGAGUAGUUGUUCUAGAGAAUAAAACUUAACAGACACAGUGUAAUUAAUAUUUUAAGAAGUUUUUGUCAUUUUAAUAUAUAGGUCCAAACUUGGUUUAUAUCAGUACAUUAAUAUUUGGCCUUAGGGAAAACUUGGACAGCUUUAACUAUUUGUGUUACAUGUAUCACCAAUUUAGUUAUACAUAAACCUUUUAAUAUUUAUCCUUUAUUUAUAGACCUUUAUAUUACUUAAUUAGGCACUCUUAUUUUUUACUUAGCUGUAUGACAAUUUUAUUUUACCAUGUAAAGGCUUUCUUAACUGAAAACAUUUUUCCUUUUAUUAAAUAUAUAUGAUAUUUAGAACCUUUUAAUUUUAAUCCAUUUAUCCCUCUGUUUAUACUUUGAAAUAACCCUUAUAAAUUUCUGAAUUUAGAUAAAUUACUUCAUUUUAAUAUGUAACAUUUGAUAAAUAACACUUUGUUAUUUACAGGACUCCAAUUGAAAUGCAGUUGAAAACUUUGGACCCCUUAUAUUUUGAAUUACACCUGUUAUGACUUUAACUUUUAGUAACCUUGUUUUAGUGAUGACACAAAGUAAUUUUCAACUUCUUUUUAAAAUUUACCAAUUUAUGAAAACACCAAUGAUUAAGUAUUUUAUUUUAUGAUACUUAAAGUUAAGAGUACUUGAUAUUAUAUUUAACAGCAUUUUUAACUCUGUAAACCAAUCAGAGGUCUCUAACAAACACAUCCAUAAUUAAUUCUAUACAUGUCAGAUCUAAUUUACUUAUUUAAAAAUGAAAAAGCCAAGGUAUCAGACAAGUGCAUUGAAUAGCAUUGUCAUUUUUUUCCUGUUGAAAAAAAAAUCCUAGAGACAAUGGAUAUUAGAAACUUUAUAGACAUUACCAUUUUAUCAGCAGCUGUUUGAGCACCUAGAAACAAAACUGGGCGUUAGUAACUUUAAAGACAUUUUUACUUUUAUUUAUUUACCCAAUUUAUAUUGAACCUUUUAAAUCAUAUGAACAAAGGCAUUUGGAUCCAUUUUUUAAAAUUUUCAUUUAUGAGCUCAUGUGUCAAUUUUUGAUACCCAAUAUAUAUAGACAUGGCAAUACACAUAGACUGAGAGUACUGAGAGUACACGGGUGCCCCUACAUAAAACAAAUAAAGGUCUUGUAGGUCAUUUUUUAAAAACCUAUUCGAUUGAGAGUUAACCCUUGUAAAUUAGCCUUAGAGCAAAGCAAAAUGUAAUCAGAAAAACAUAUUAACCUAGGUAUGUCAGAUCAGAAUCAUGAAUUUAACAAAUAUAAAAUUUUAAAAGCUUUCUUGGUCUUUGUCUUGAGGUGGUCUUGCUCAUCAAAGGUAAAAAGUUAAGGGAACAUAGACAAACGACAGGGUUUUAUUCCUCCCUGAAGGAACUUCCCAAAGAGGUAGCUCACAUUGGUCUCCUCGAGAGUCCCCCCAGGUAGGGAUCCCAUUCUAGUUUUUCUGGUUUCUUGGAGAGUAGCCACCAAAGUUUAGCCUGACAUUGAAAAAUCUUUGGACCAUUUUUAAUAGCUAGGAGUUAUUCAUGCUUACAAAUACUGAGAGACAAAAGCCAAAUUUCCUAGACAAAAUUAUGCUUUUUGUUAUACAACUUAGAAAUAAUAAUUUUAUAAAACAUUUUAGUUCUAGUCUGCCCUCUAUAGGAACUGACUUGGUCUACCCUGUCAGCCACCUGGCCCAGUUCCUAAAUAAAGGCAAUCUCCAGAAUGUUUUUUUUUUUUUAACCUCUAGCUUUUACUUUCAACAUUUUUAGUCCUGUUGGCAGCCAUUUACAUGUUAAUGCAAACUUCAGUGAGCACAGUUAAAAACCUUUUUAACCAUUUUUAACAUUAGAAACAAACUGACAUAGAAAUUAACACACAACAAAAAGGGGACAAUUACAAAUAACCAGACAAGACAAAAACACAAAAUCAGACACACAACAGGUAAGGCACCAGAGAAAUGUAACCGACAGAAAACCAGAUUCAGACCAGAGGACUCAGUAAAAACCAGACUCGGACCAGAGGACCAAGCAAUGUCUUGCUAGCCCUGGACUUUGGGAAAUAAUGCUGCAUCCAGUUUUCCCUGAGCCUCUCCAAAUACGGAUCCACACAGACUAGACUUACCUUCCCCAGGGAAACAGACGACUUUUGGUAGUUUUAGGUGGGAGGGGGUUGGUGGAGGGAUGGCCCGGGACUAGGAACAUCGUCUCGGAGGCCUUUCCCUAGGCAAUCUCUCUGCCACAGCACCUCCCUUGGUGGUCCUGAGAUCUCUGGAAUGCAAGAAAAGUAGAUCUCGCUGUGGCCUCCAAAUGUUGUGGGGAAGGUUGCUCAGAAAACACACCAAGUCCCAGUUUUGUCCAAAUUGAAGAGUUUUUAUUUAGCCAGCCGGUGAUUGCCCCCUGCAGGACCCAUAAAUGUCUCUGCAAGUAACAGCCUCAAGCCGGAGCAUUUUAGGAUAUUUAAAGCCAAAAACCACAUUUGGGUUGACGUAGCUGCAAACAAGCAGGUACAGAAGCUGAAUUGGGCAGUUAGCGAGACAAUGCAAUGGGUACAUUGGUAUGUCCCAUGGGACUUUCCAGGUCGGCAAAGCAGCAAGCAAGCAGAAGGGAAAUGGGUCAAAAUGACCCUAGUUCAGUACUAGUUAGAGAAUGGUUACUACUGUCUAUAGAAUCAAUCUCUGGCAAGGUACAUUGCCCAAGAAAAAUGGAAACCAAAGAGAGCAAUUUUACAUUGUGUAAGACUUGCUCUUUUGUGUUGCCAAGUGUGCUAUGUUAGGUAACUAUUCAUGGGUACAGAGGCGGGGCUUUCCCAUGGGAGAAGCAUUUCUUACAUGAUAUGGAGUCUCAGAGUAAAAUGGAGUCUGUUUGGUCAUUGCCCAUAUAGCCUGGCCCACAACAAGCCUUAUUCCCUCCCACUGCAGCAAGAAUGUUUUGGAGAUCAGGUGUUUCUCUUCUGCUUCACCCACUGCUGACCCUUUGAAAUAACACAACAUAAUAUUACUUUCCCCAAUAAAAGAAGAGAAAGGAGCUUGGGUGUCCUGAGACAAUGUUAGGGCAGUUGUGUUUCUGAGAACACCUUGUACAUACGGAGGCAAAAAAGCACAAGAUGACUUCUACCACACACUGGCAGCCUGCGUCGGGCUAAUUAUGAUGAGCCCAGGUUUCUCCCUCUAGAGCUCCCAGACUGGAAAAGAAAUUCCUCUGUGGCCAAAAGUGACAAAUCUUCAAUACCGAGACAGAUGCUAUUUGAGGAACCACAGAACUUGCUUCCAUAGGUGGGAUGAAGAAGAUCUUCCCCCAGGGUCCUCCAUUCUCUCCACAGAGCUUCCUUGAGAACUUCCUAUGUUUGAGGCCAUGGUUCCUCACCUCCAUGUGGCCCAGCGUCUCCUGGAGGGCUGAUCACUCCCACCCGGCCUCCUGGGGUUCAAUCAUUCUGUCAUUUCAAUCAUGCUUUGGUAAAGAAACCCAAAUGAAAACUCCAGACACUGAAGUUCAGAUAGGCUUCCAUGGCUAAUGCCAGUCAGCAGUGUGCCAGGAGGGUGAUGGGACCCGAGGACAUGGACAUCUCAUCUUCGAGACCCUGCCUGCUUUGCUCCUGGGUCUCUUUUAGCUGGUGCUGACCUGGAUCCUGUGUAGUAAACCUGCAAGUGUAUAAAGCUUCUUUGAGUUCUGUGAGUUGUUCUACUGAAUUAUGGAGCCUGAGAGAGCCUUGGGAAGCCCCAACUGGUAGCCAGUGGGUCAGACGUGUGGAAGGUCUGGGGACUGCAGAGCUUGUGCCUGGCUUUAUGAUUUGGACAUGAGGUAUCCCCUGAAAGCUCCUGUGUGUGACAGUGCAGGAAGGUUCAGAGGUGAGUGAUUGAAUCAUGAGAGCUUAACCUCAUCAGUGGGUAAGUCCAUUUGAUGGAUUAUUAUUUUGAGUGGAUCGCUAAGAAGUAACUGUAGGGGUGUGGCUGGAGGAAGUCGGUGACUGGGGUGUCCCCUUGGGAGUUACAUGUUGUCCCUAGCUCCUCAUGGUCUCUGUUUGCCAGCUACCAGGCGCUGCACAACUUUGUUCCACCAUGUCCUCUGCCAUGAUGCUAUGCCUCAUGUUGGUCCAAGGCAAUGGAGUUGACCAACCAUGGAAUGGACCCCCUAAAAUCCAUGAGCUCAAAAUAAACAACUCUUUAAGUUGUUCUUUUCAGGAAUUUUGGUAACAGCUAUGAAAAUCUGGUAACACACCUGGUGUCUGACAUGAGGCAGUAUUGUAAAAUCUGCAUGAACUCUGGGUACCCAGAUUGGGAAUUGCUUUGGCCCUAACUAGGUGAGUUAGGGUAGGCAUGACAGUCUUAUCAGGGAUAUCUGAGAAAAAGGUUCAAGGGAAAAGAACAGGAAUGACCCACAAAAAGCUAAUCAGACCCUUCUCCCCACCCCAGCUGUGCAGUAAGAAUAGAGGUGGGCAGGUCUGGUAUUUAGUCAUCUGUACUGUUGAAAUACCCAUCCCCAUGGGUAUUGAUAUACACUGCUGCCCUGAGUUCCCCACAAGCCCUCUGUCUCACCUCUUGUGUUAGUCAGCUUUCUAUAGUUGUGACAAAAUACCUGAGAAAAACAACUUACAAGAGAGAAGAAUUAUUUUGGCUCAUGAUUUCAGAGGUUUCUGACUAUGGUUGGCUGCCUCUAUUGUAUCCAGUAAGGCAGAUUAUCAUGGUAGAGGGAUUAGCGAAGCAGAUGAUCUAGAAGCAGAAAGAGAGAGAGGGAAGACUCGGGGUCAUAGCAACCCUUCAAGGGCAUGUCCCUGACUUCCUUCCUCUGUCUCCCAAUAACACUUCCAGCUUGGAAUCAGCCUCCAGCACCUGAGCCUUUGAGGGCCAUUCCAUACCCUAACUGUACACCUCUCUUUCUUGGUCUCUCCCACACUGACCUUCCUAAGACCCAGAAAUAUCAGGGGCUCAGAGCCAUGCUUUAUGAUUUUCUAAAGAUUUUAAAUGUCCCCACUUUGUGCAAAGAGUCUCCAUAUAGAGACAUGUCAGAACGAACCCACGUUUUCCAGUGUUGAGCUCUGCUAGGAUGUUUUCAAGAAAGACCAGUCUGUGUUAGGGUUUUAGGCCUAUACCCAGAAAGGCAAAAGAAGCAAUUAAAAAGUGAAAAUUUCCAACAAUUUGAUUAUCUGGCAGCCUGUAGAUUUAGAAGCCAUCUAUUUGUCAGUUGGAAUUCAAUUUGUCUCCCUUUUCCUACAUUCAGCCAAAAUAAGAGCAAGCUCAGAAACCUCUCUGUACAAAGAAGGAGCUCUAAUUGUUUUGUUCCCUCACUCGACAUUUUGGCCAAUUCUAAGAUGCAUAAAUAAGUCUGAUACUCAGGCACCGAGGAAAGUGGGAUUUAUUAAUUUAAAUGAGUUGGCGGUCUCUGGGGAGGACGCCUGUGUUCCUCACUCGAUGGUCCCAGAGGGUUUUCCCUUUGUUUUGGACCUCCUCAAUGCUGGGCAUCAAUUUCCUCAAGUUAUUAUCAUAAUUCUUUAUUUAUUAGAUGUUGACUCCGUGUAACCCAAGCACUGGGGAAAGACUCCACGCUCCACAGGCUGGAGGGCCACAUCCCUGACACUUCUAGAAAGAUGUAAAGGGCCUCUAGGAUCAGAGGAGGAUGACAUCUCCUUGGACCCCACCUGGAGCCCAGGUGAGCCCAUGAAGUCUUCCCAAAGAAACAGAAUUUGGGGCAGGGAAAGUUUGUAUGUGGGCUUGGUGGCAAAUGGGCCAGGGAUUGGGACAAGGAAUCUCAUAAGUGGGGAGAAGGCCACAGGAGGGGACAGACAGAACCAAGGCCCUGGGGCUGGGGCGACCCCCCAGCACACCCUAGUUCACAUCUUCCCCUCCCCCACGCAGGGCUCCUCCCGCCUCAAUCACCAGGACAACUGUGCACUCCCAGGCCUGGUCCAGACCUAGUGACAGAGGGCAAUUAAGUGCCAUUUGGUACAGCGGGGAUCAGAGGGGCCCCAGAAAGGACUCUAGCAUGUGAGGAAGCGGUGGCUGGUGACAGUGCAAGAACAUGCUCUUCUCCCUCCUGUGCCAAGUUCUGUGCUGUGAGGUGAAUUGUGGGGGCACAUGACACAUAUUGUGAAGAGAUCUGGGGGCACAGGAAGUUAUUUUCCCUAAGCUUCAGUGGCCCCAUCUGUGAAAGUGGGGUGCCACCCCACCUCCCACAGAUGGCCAUGAGGGAAGUACCUGCCCCCGUUACCAGAGGGCCCCAUGCAGAAGGCUCCGUCACUGAAGACCAGCUAUUUAUUUCUGUCAUUAACCAUAAGUGUUACUUAUAGACUUCAGUGCACCGAUCACCUUGGCUUCUACCAAGCAACUGCCUUUAUUUACGAUUUUCCAGCAUAACUACAUGUGUGCCUCAUACACACAUAGACAUCAUGAAUUCAUAACGAACACACCCCUGUCAUCCAAACCCAGACCAAGAAAGAAAACAUGACCUGGACCCCAAGACCUUCUUUGGCUCCCUUCCCAGCUACGCCUCACCUCCCCCGCCCAGGACAAUAACUCUCCUGACUUCUAACCGUGCACGUUCGCUUUGUCUGUUGUUGUACUUUAUAUAAAUGGAACGCGCAGCAUGCGCUCUUGUUUCUGACUUCUUUCAUUCAACCUUCUGCUCGGGAGCUUCUUGCAUUUUGCAACGGGCUUACAGUUGUCAGUGAAUUUUGAAACCGAUCAUAUUUUUAAGGAGCUCAGAGCCAGAAUGGCGGCCACCUCUGGAAACUCCCCAGUACCAAAGAGGCGUUCUGGACACCCCUUGUCAGCUGCCCCUCGUCCAAAUUUCCCAAGGUCUUUAUUCUGCUUGCUUUUGGUGAAGUAUAAGAAUGUUUAGAACUCUCCUCAGAUCCUAUUUGAAACAAUCCAUUUUGGGAAAUAAUAAUGAGUGAAUGUCAGCCCUGACUCCCCUGGUCCAGGGCUCCUCUCUGUUCCCCAGGAAGGACCAAGAGAACGCUGAUCAUCAGUGGAGAAGAUGAGGAUGAAGGUGGAGAUGGCCAUGCAGAUGAACAGGGUGGUGACAGCUGGCCUGUGUGACAGCUUCAUCACAACACAUCUCUCUCCCUGUUUUUAAUUAAAGAAAGCAAGGCACCGAAAGGUGAAAUAUCUUGCUGGAGGCCACCCAGCUGGAAAGGGGGGAAGCUUGGAUGAGAGCCCAGCCUGAGAAAUUCAGUUCUAGAAACCCGUCUCCGCCGGCACCCAGGACGGCGCUGCGUUGCAUGGAGGGUGACUUCUGAGCCGCUGUCUUGUCAUCCCUUUCAAGGCAGAGCUCCUGGCUGGCUGCCUUCCUCCCCUUCAUCUGUUACCAAAGCCUCUGCCACACGCCUGGCUGUGGGCUCCUGAGCAUGCGUGCUGUGUGGCUGGAAUGUGGGGGAAACCGCCCACUUUAAUGCAGAUGAGCCUGGGGCGCCAGCUCCUGCAGAGCAUGCUCCUGCUGCCCUCCCCAAGGCGGAGCACUGGGCAUAAUUAUCAGUGUCUUUCAGCAGAACUACAGGCAGCCCUCAGUGGCACCCGGAGGGUUUAAUCAUAGGAGAAUCCAUACGAACCAAUCUGAGCAGACAGGAGGCCAGAAGUGCUGCUGAGGAGGACUCGCCCAGGGAUGGCCAGACCAGGGUCACUCCAACGGCCCCAGGAUCUUCACAUAUGUGAUGCUGAGCUUCACAGAGUUACCUUGCUCAUUUUUCAGGUGGAAAAACAGGUUCUUAUAGGAUGUAUCUAUUAAUGAAAGCCUGAGCCAUCCAGCUCAACUUAUCAGGACAAAGGGAACCCCAAUGUUUACCAAAGAGAAAUAUAGAGGUCCCCACUUAUCCCCAGUUUCAUUUUUCCUAGUUCAGUUAUCUACAGUCACCAGAGUCCCAGAAUAUUAAGUGGGAAAUUCCAGAAAUAAACCAUUCGUAAGUUUUAAGUUGCGUGCUCUUCUAAGUAAUGUGAAGAUAUCUCCUGCUGUCCUGCUCUAUCCAAUCCAGGAUAUGAAUCAUACUUUCUCCAGUGUGUCCAUGCUGUAUAUGCUACCUGCCCAUUAGUUACAUAGUAGCUGCCUUGGUUAUGGGAUCAAAGUUGAUAUUGCAGUGCUUGUAUUCAGGUAACUCUUAUUUUACUUAAUAGUCUCCAAAGUGCAAGAGUAGUGAUGCAGAGAUACUGUGGUACUAUGUGGCAACACUACAUAGCAUAUAGGAAAAAGAAAACACCAAACCCUAUAGAUGCUGUUUUAUCUAUGGCUUCAGACAUCCACUAGAGGUCUUGGAACCUGUCCCCUCUGGACACAGGAGGAUUACCAUACAGUGACUUUGCCAUGAGCUCCAGCCUGGGAUCCUGUGGACUGGAUUUCUCACAGCAGGGGCAGGGGAAAUGCAGGUUCUGCCCAAGCCAUGUCUGCAGGUGCAGCGGAAGCUGCCUGGCUGACUUCCCUCUGAGCCGGAGCAGGCCUCCUAUCUUACAGAAGCUGCUGCGGCACUUGAGAAUUACACAGAAAACAGGCUCCAACCUCCGCUCUCCCCCCUGCAUAGCAGCUAUUCCUGCCCGGGUCCCUUCCUUGGGCUUUAAUCCUUCUUACUGCUUAAUUUCGUAGUAAAUUCCAUUGACAACUGGCUUGCACUUUC
rnacentral:lncRNA from 1 species